rnacentral:lncRNA from 1 species
AGUGUGUGGAUGGGUACUGAUGAAGUGUGCGCAUUUAUUUUGAGAAGCCUGCUUGUUCGCAUAGAUUUUAACGACAUGAACAUUGUGGUAAGGUUAGAGAGUAAUGCGAAUGUAGGAGCUUAUAUUAGAAAUGACACAAACACGUAAAUAGAAGUAAUCUAUAUAUGAUAUUACUCAUGGACUACAAGCAAAGAAGUACAAUACAUGGAGUAAGUGAUGAAAUGAGCAUUCCUCACUACUACUGCUUGACUGAUGGAACAUGAUGCACGAGAUAGCAUAAGUAGUAGUAGGAAGCAGCUCUUAUUUGUGGCGUCGGUAUACAUCAUACUAGGUAGAUGGUUCAAUUGGCAUGGAUGGGUGGUGGAGCCUUGAAGUGCUUGUGAUGGGGAGCCCACGGCUUCUUCUCAGGAGUUGGUGGCUUCUUGUAUGGAGUUGAUGGAGGUGUUUCUACUGGAGGGUGGCCAGGGUAGUGACCCUGGGGUGGUGAAGGUUCUUUUGUCGGUGGUGGCCUCACUAUUAUUGGCGGUAGAGUUGGUGGCUUGGGCGUUGGCGGUGGUCUCACUACUCUUGGGGGUAGAGUUGGUGUCUUGUGUUUUGGUGGUGGAGGUGGCUUAACAGGAGUUGGUGGCUUGUAUUCUGGGGGUGGUUUCUCCACCGGAGGUGGCUUAUAAACUGGAGUUGGUGGCUUGUAUUCUGGGGGUGGCUUCUCCACUGGUGGUGGCCUGUAAACAGGGGUUGGUGGCUUAUAUUCUGGGGGAGGCUUCUCCACUGGAGGCGACUUAUAAACAGGGGUUGGUGGCUUGUAUUCCGGGGGUGGCUUCUCUACGGGAGGUGGCCUGUAAACAGGGGUUGGUGGCUUCUCCACCGGAGGUGGCUUAUAAACGGGGGUUGGUGGCUUGUAUUCUGGGGGUGGUUUCCCCAGUGGUGGAGACUUGUAAACAGGAAGAGGUGGUUUGUGCUCAUAUGGGGGUGGCUUGUGGUCAUUAGCAAGUGAGGGAGUGGUGAGGACCACCAAUCCAAGGAACAACACGAGUGAGCAAGCAGAAGACAUGUUUGGGCUCUGGUGAUGCACAAGUAGAAGAAAUGGGAACCAUUUAUAAUGCUUCGAGACCUUGGUUAGCACCAAAAUAUGUCAAAAUCUUGAUUACUUCAUUUCAUACAUAGAUUUAAAAUUAUUUCAAUCAACCAUGAUCCUUAAUUUUCUGGGUGGUCCAUAAAUGUAAUGGGGUCAAUUUGGGACCUAACAAGCUGAGAAGUUUGACAAUGCUGCAAGGCUUCAUCCGAAAGUCCGGGGAAGAAUAUUAGGAGUUACACUCCGUUUCCUUUUUUGGGUGCAUUUUUCUCCUUUAACAUUCUAUUCCCUUUUACAUUAGCAUUUGAUCUUAGCUCAUUUCAAGUACAAGUUUCUUGAACCCUAUACCAUUGUCAAAGUUGAGUAACCAUCUCUACUUUGCUCAAGAAACAUAAAAGACAAUGACAAUAAAGAAAAAGGAGAGAGACCAUACGUGACUUGGUUUAUAGGUGGCUUUGUGUUGACAUUUGAGUAUGGAAGCCGACAUGCAUCUUAGCUUCGAUUUUAAUUAAAUUUGUACAUUAGUGUCUGUGUCAUUCAUUUUGGUAUAAAAGGUCUCUUGAUUUCGUAAGUUUGGUAAGAACCGUUGAAAAUAGCAGUAGCAGCACAUGGUCCACUUUCUUUCACAAAAUAAUUUUAAAAGUUUAGAAGCAUAGGAGGUAACAUUAGUGGCCUUGUGGCUCAGCCACGAGUACUAUGUGGUGCUCGAGAAAUUGAGUUUAAUUUCCUUCCGAUAGUUCAUGAUAAGGUCCGUCACUGUCCUGAGACAGAUUGCGUUUUUUCUUUUUUCCUUUUUUAGUGUUUUAUUGACUAGCUAGGUGUGACUUUUCCUACUUUAAGGCACGAGGCAGAAAAGAAACUGGGAUUUAGUGCUUAAGAAGGCAAAUUUAAUUCGAUUUGGAUCUAAAAUUUGCCAGCAACAUGAGAUUUUCCAGCCUAUCGUUGCUCCACAUAUAGACAAGGCACUUGUAGAAGUGGCUUGUUUGUAGCCAUUCCCGAUAUUUGGACUCACUUGAUUCACCGGACACUUUGAUAAAAUUUAAUAUUUAUUAUUUAAUAAUUUAAAUUGAUUUAAAAUUAAAUUAUACCGAAGUUGUGAUUUAAAAAUUAUUAUUUAAUUCUUACUUUUAAAUAUGAAGAUUAUUUGAUAAAAAUAAUUUAAAAUUUAUUAUAAAUUAUCAAAUUAACAUAUUUAUCCUUAUAAAUUAUAAUUAAAACAGAAAAGGUCAAAUGAUUUGAGUAUCCAUAGAUGUGGUAAAAUAAUAAAAAAGAUUAUAAAAACAAUUAUGAUAAAUAAAGAUAAAAAGUAAAAUGAAUAUGUGAAUUUAAAGAAUAAAUUAAUUAUUUUUAUUUAUUACUUAAAAUUAUUUUUGACUUUAAAUUAUAUUAUUAAAUUAUUUUACCAAACAUACUUAAUUUAGUUAAUAAUUUAAAUUUAAUUUAAGUUAUUAAAUUGAUUCACCAAAUACCCACUUAAUCAAAGACUGAAGUAUACAUUAUUUGGCCAAAUGCAGCUAUUGAAAUUUAACUUUUUCCAAACUUAUUCAUUUUGUGGAAAUAUUUUUAGAAAUGAUUUUAAAAAUGCACUAUUCUGUGUGUUGAUUUUAUAUUUUGGCAUUAAUCCAACAUAGAAAACGGUUCUUAUUUUCGCUGUUAAAUAGGUACCAGAUCCUUAAUUAGUGCCGUGAAUCCGGCAGCUUCCAAUGAGUAAUUUGGACUUGGGUAUUGACAAUGUGUGGCCAUGCUUCUACUAUUUUAUUAUUCUUGAAACAUAUAUGAUAUAUUGGACUUUAUACAGGGAAAAAAAAAAAAAAAAGUCUUCACCAAAAAUGAUUCCUCCUAAAAAAUAGACUCCACAAACUAGGUUUAACAGGAAAAUGAUUCUAAUCUAGUAGUUUCCAGCCACAUGAGCAUUUACGUAACAAUAGUAUAGUUGAUAACGACUUUUAUUUUAUUUAUUUUUAAAUAGUUAAAGGGAUAAUUUUUGAGCUUAAAUUUUAUUUUUUUAUUUAGAAACAUUUUACUUUAUUUUUUAAUCAUAAUUCUAUUAUAUUAAUGUUUUAUUUUCUAUUUUUUAAUAUAUAAGGAGAUACUAAAUUUAUGUGAUUAUUUUUUAAAAAUUUAGUAUAUGAAAUUAAAUAAUUGGAUAUAUAUACAUAUAUCAUAUAAUGUUUUUUAAGUGUGAUUUUUGAACUUUUUAGUCAUUUUAUAAGUUUAAGCUUUUGAUUUUUUUUUUUAAACUUUGGUAUUUUUUAUUUUAUAUAAAACUAUUUUGAUUUAAUUUUAUUAAAAAAUAUUGGUAUUAUAAAUUAUUGUAUUAAUUAUUUUUUUAUAUUAUAAUGUAACUGGUAUAUACUAAAAAAUGUAUGCAAGUUCAAUUUAAGUUUCAAAUUAAAAAAUUUCAUUUAAAUAUUUAAUAACUUGUUCAUAAUAAAAAAUUAAACAACAUAAUACAAAUGAAAAGAAACAUAAAAGAAAAAGGAAAAAAUGGUCCUCUCUGUGUGUCACAUUACUAGGUCAUCCUCUUUUUCUAUGACCCUUACAAUAGAAUGGCAUAUUUGUCAAAUCUACUUAUGAAAGUUGGAAUGUUUCUACAUGUGUAGGGUCCAUUGGAACUAAUGGAGGAAAGGCUUAACGUCUAUGUAAAUCACAACGUUGCCUAGGUGGGCAUAGAUCUAGUUGUGUAACAUGAGAUGGUGUGAGAGUACAAUAUAUGCAUUGUAGUCUCUAUGGGAAGAGAGAUAGGUAAUGGUAGGGUGGUAGACGGUAGGGUGAUCUCUAAUAUAAUGACAUUUGAUGUGGUGGCUUCUAAGAGAGGAGAUAUAAGAGAUGGUAGAAUGACAUUUGGUGUAAUGGUCUCUAGUGCAAUGACAUGUGAUAUGGUGACCUAUAAAGAAGAGAUAUAGGUGAUGGUGAAGUGGUAUGUGGUGUAGUGACCUUUGAGAUAGAAAAUAGAGGUAAUGGUAGGUUGGCAGGUGGAGUGGUCUUUGGUGUAGUGACAUCAAUUAUAAAUGUCUCCAAGGGAGGAAAUAAAGGUGAUGGUAGGUAGUAAAUGUUGAGGUGGUCUUUGAUAUGUUAUGCUCUAAGAGAGAAGGUAUAGGUAAUGAUAAUAGGGAAUUUGACAUAGUGGUGUUGGAAAUAAAAAGUGAAAGUGACCGUAGAGGUGAAAGGGCAAGUGUAAAAGCCUCAAGUACGAAUGGAGUAAUUAAUGUGGAUGGUGCUAACAUAGUCUUAGGUGGAUACACAAAUAGUCAUAGUCAUCAACUAGCUUGCCCACCAUCUGUCUUUCUGCUAGUGAUAGGUUACAUCUUAAUAGUAAUGGCCAACAUAAGUGGUGUGGAUCCGAUUUUUUUACGUGUGUCCCCACUCAAUCGACAAGACUUAUUUUUUAUUAGUGAAAAAUUAAUUUUGGAAAAGUUGGAGUCACCACUUAUUUUAUUUUAUUUUAAAAAGGAAAGUAAAACAAGAAAGAGAACUCUAAAGAAGUGACUUCAUAGUUUUGGAAAAGUUAGUCUUAAAAAAUCCAAGUCUUGGUCCGGAGAUCAGGUUACUUAUUGGGAAGAUACCUCUAAGAGGUAAUACCCCUCUAAACCCUAAAGAAGUCUCUAAUGACUAAGUUGAGGAGAAUGUGGUAAUUAAUUAAUUGAUUGAGGGUACCUAGGUAGACUAAGGUGAUUUCAGAAUUAACAUACCAAGCUAGAAAGUCCAAUCAUGAUCAUAAAAGAGAGUCAAAGUAUGUACCUGAACUGCUUCUCAAACGCUAUCAUAAAACAUCAAAGUUAGUAUAGAAAUAUAACACAUAAUAUUUGUUUUAUCCAAGCAAAUAAAGCAUACAUCUAAGCACCCAAGAAUCACAUCAAGUAUGGAUAUAGUCAUCAAUAGCAUACGUGUCCAUAGAACUAUCGAAAGUAAAUGUGGAGGAGCGUAUCUGGACAACAUAGAUAACUUAUAAUGUGCUUCCACAAGACAUGGGGGUUAGAUAAAAGUUAUAAUAAUAAUUAGUAAAUGAAAGAAUUCUAGCAUGUUUGGUAUCUAAAUAACAUAGCAAAAAUGAACAAGAGUACACGAAAACAUCAAUUAUCACACGAGUCAUAUUGGCUAGUAUUUAAUCAAUAAACCAACAAUAAAUGACUAUAAACAUAUAAAAUGACAUAUUCAAAGAGACCCAAACAUAAAGAGCCUAGAACACAAGCUUACACUAAAUUUAGAAAACUAAAACAUGGAAUUUUAAAAGCAUAAAUUAGCAAACAAAUUGAUGGAAACUAAAUUUAGAUAACUUAAGAAUAUUUUUCUUAUCCUUCAAUUUAAAUCAGUAAGCCAACAAUAAAAAAUUAUAGAAACAUGGAAUAUCAAGAUCAAUGGGAUACCUAAACUAUAAUUUUUAAAAGAAAAUAAACUAAGCAUAAUAUCUACAAAGCAACUAAACUAACAUUUUUUUAAAAAUAAAUUAAACAUGACAUUAAUGGAGUAACCAAACUAAAUUAAAGUAAACUAAAAACAUUUAUGAAUUUUCAAACAUGGAAUCAGCUUUCUUAGUAAAUUAAAAUUAUUAAAAUAAAAUCUAAGCUUAAAAAUGAAUUAAAUACUAACUAAAGCAAAUCUAAAACCAAAUAUUUAACACAUAGGAUCAAUUAUAUUAACAAACUAAAAUUUUAUAAGAACACUUAAACCUAAAGUUGAAUUAAAAACUAACCAAUUUUUAAAACUAGAUCUUUAACCCAUAGGAUCAAUUAUAUUAACAAAUAAAUAAUAAAUAAUAAAUAAAUAAAACUCAAACCUAAAGAUGAACUAGAAAUGUACCAAAGUAAAUUCAAAACAAGAUCUUUAACACAUUAGAUCAAUUAUAUUGACUAACUAAAAAAAAAAAAAAAAAACACUCAAACCUGAAACGAUGUAUUAGAAACUAACCAAAGCAAAUUUAAAAUAGAGUCUUUAACACAUAGGAUCAAUUAUAAUCACUAACUUAAAUUACAAUUUUUGAAACAUGAACUAAUUAGUGUUGGAUUAAUUAAACUAAUUAACUAAAAAAAACUAUAAACUAGAAUACGGUGAAUCAAGAAUUCAAAUCAACAAACAUAAAAUAUGGGUACAAUGAAAUGAAAAUCUAUUAAACUAAUAAGACGGAAAUAUGACAAACUCAUGAACCCACAUUUUGAUCAACUAGGAAAUAGAAAUUAAUAGACCUGUAGCAUGGAUACAAUGAAAUGAGAUCAGUUAAAUUUAUUUGCCGAAAUUCUAAAAAACACAUACACUCAAAUAAGAUCUAAAUCUAAGACCAAGCAAAACUCAAACUUUCUCAAUCUAAUGCAAUGAAUCAAAACUAAAAUUAAAUAGAAAUCAAACCAUUUUUUUUUUAUCUAAUAUAAUAAAUCAAAGCUAAAACUAAACAAAAUCGAAUUUUCUUAAUUUAAUAUGAUGAGUCAAAGCUAAAAUUGAACAAAGUUCAAACCUUUAUAUAAUGGAUCAAAGUUAAAUCUAAAUGAAAUCCAUACUUCCACAAUUUGAUAUAACAAAUCAAAAAUAAAACUAGAUAAAAAAAAAGUCAAAGCCUUUCAACUUGACAUAGUGAAUCCAAACUGAAACGAAACAAAAUUUUAACUUUUCCAAUGAAACCCAAUAUAGAAAAAAUUAGCUUACCUUCUUUAGAAUAUAUGUAUGGGCCAUAAAGAAGUCACCUUGGUGCAUGUGUUCCUCACUUUGACGCCAAUGGACGACUUUCUAUGGUAGCAAAUGGAGAUCCUUUUUGGUGGUAACUUGCGUGUGGAAACCUAUGGUACAACCAAUGUCAUCUUUUAUUGUGCGUGUGGACCAAUUUCUUCUCGAGAACUCAUGUGUGUUGUGCUCAAAAUAUGUUGCCUGUGAGAAUCUAUUGGUAUACCCCACAUAUGGUUUCCUUGAGAGAAUCUGUGGUUGUGUGUGGGCGUUUUCUUCAUGACAGCAUGUGGAUGUUCCCAUCUAUGGUAGAUUGGUUGUGAUGCUUUAGUGCAUGGUCUCCAUAGGAAUAGUGUGUUAUGGAAAUUUGGUUUUUUUAUUGGUGCAUGUUGUCUAGACUUUCCCAUAUGCGUGGACUGUGUGUUCAUGCUUUUCUUUUCGGAUGGUCGCCUGUGUUAAUGUGUGGCGGUGUCUACAAUGAAAGAUACAACCCUUUCUCUCCUUCUGCGUGAUAGAAAAGUCAAUCCCCCAUGGUGCGACUAUGUUCCCUCGUCCUUUUUGAAAAAUUUUGGUGUUUUCCCCCCAAAAAAUCCCCUCCAAAAAUCUAAUUAUAAAUGUCUGCUUUGGCCUAAUGUGUGUGCUACUUUUUUUUUCCUUCUUUUUAUGGUUGUGCGUGCUUUUCUUGAUACGUGGCUUAUUUCUUAAGGAUAUGAUUCGCUCCCAAUUGGUGUCUCAGCUGAUUCAUGUCCUUUCAAUGGUCCCUGACAGUGGUGCCAUUUGAUUCGUGUCCAGCUGGUGUCCCUUGAUUGUGGUCCUCAGAAGGGAGUAAUCAAUAAAAUUUAUAACCUAUUACACCAUGUAUUAGGAUAGCCUUAGCUAGCAUAGCAUAGUGGCUCUAGGGUCGUUUAUUGGGAUGAGUUUUCACUUCACAAUUGAUAUUAAUUCAAGAGCUGAAUUGGUGCCUUUUCAUUUCAAGGUUAGCUUUAAAAGAAAACAUAAUCUUUGGUGGAAAAAGGUUUGGUUUUAAACUAACCAAAAAUAGUAACUGAUUUUACUUACAAAGAAAAGUGUUCUUUGGAGUUUAGAUCACUAGGCUCAGGUUCCUCAUACAAAAAGGAGAGUUCCGAUCAUUUGUUUCUUUUCCUCGCAUUAGAGAAUUAACAUAUAGUUAAUUCUCUAACCGGUGCGGUACAUAUGCUUCCCAUUAAUGGGUUCAAACACUAAAUACCUCUCACUGAUGCACCUUGCAAUGGCUCGUGCCUCUCACCUAGCAUUUAUCAUUCAAGGUGAUCUUUAACCUUGGAUUACCCAUCAAAAGCUCGCAAGAGAUAACUAAAGGAUGUCUCCUUAGAGUCCAAAAGCUUACCAAGUGUUGGUUAUUCUAGAAAAUCCUACCUUCAAACCACCUCCCAAAGGCUCGCAAGAGAUAAACAAGUGCAUCUCAAUGGAUGAAGAUCACUUGCCUUACCAAGUUUUGGCCCAGAUGAUUUAAUGACAUUUUAAGUUAACUAAAAAGAUAAAAACCAUUAACGGGUCACACUUUCUCUUCAUUAAAAACUAAAACAACAAAACUUCCAAUUUAUGCAUGAGGAAACUUACCUGGCUUUCUUCACUUCAAGAGAUGAAGAGCCUAGCCACUCAUCAUUUGAGGAAAAAUCCUCAGAGUUUGAUUUGCUAGAAAUAAAAAUAAUGAGAAAACAAAAAUAUAUAUAUGAAAAACAGAGCAAGUUCUCUGUAAUAUAUUUUUCUUCCUUAUACAAAAGGUUGUCUCUAAGAACAAGUUCCCGAGAUCUAUCUGAUUGUAAAUAAAAUUACAACUAUAUAUAAGAGGUUAUUCACCCCUUUGUUCUUUCUUAAAGACUAAGGAAUCCUAUGAUAGGUGGGUUACAAGGAGAGUUUGGGGAUUUAGACAUCAAAUAUCUAAAGCAAAAUAUCUCAAGAUGUUAGUCGGAAAUAUCAGGAAGCUUCAGGAGAACACCGCGACACUGUAUACUGAGAGAAAAACUCUCCGGGUAAGCUCUAUCAAAGGAUCCAGACAUGUCUGACUGGGAAAGUUGAAACGUCCUUCUCUCCCAUCCGGAUGUGAGAUAUCCGGAGAAAGUGAAAUGUCGGUCGGACAGAAUUCUUUCCCCGGGUGGAAUGAGUUGUGUUGCGCGUCGCAAGGGGGACCGUCUGCGUGUACAAGUUGUAGGGACCCCUCUCCCGGAUGACACCGAGCGCGUAAGGCUAUCCGGAUCAACUCCAUUCGGAUUCCCCAAGAGGACAUGUGGCGUGCUCCCCUAUCAGGACUCCCUUAGGGAGAAGCACACGACACUCGUGAACAUCAUACCCGGACGAUAGCAUGUCCUAUCCGGAUGUGUUGUCCGGAUCAUUGACUAAAGUGAGCAAGCCUUGCUACGUCAUUCGGACAGCUUGCCACAUACCAUGUUCCGUCGCCAUCUGAUGGUGUGUCCGAACGCCUUGUCCGGACAUCUUUUGCUCCUUGCAUUCCGGAUUUGCUUAUGACAAAGGACUUCAAAGCUUCGGUUCUUCAUGUUUCUGAGCUUUCCAUUGCUUUGCCAUGGAUUCCAAAGAACUCUCCUUAAUCACGGAUUGCUUUGGUGAUCAAAAAGUUAUCAAAACACAAAAACUUAACAUAGUUUGAUUAGAAUUGAUUGCAAGGGUUCUUAAUAUGUUAAUUGGGUUAAAAGGUGAUAACUACUACUCAAAAGUGUUUAUAAGAAUUAAUUACAAGCUAUGAAAUAACACUUUUUGAGUAGUAAUCAGGAUACAUCCUAGUUUUUCAUGGAAUUGAUAGUGGGUUGUUGUGCAUGAAUGCCACCAUUUCAACUAUGCUGUUGUUAUUUUUAAAAAAAAUAUGGAUUAUGCGCGAGUGGCAAUUCUCCACUAUGGAAAGUGGAUUGCUCCUUCAACCCAUGCAUGGCUACGUAUUCCUAUGUCUUUCUACUUGUGUUUGAUCCUCCAAAAAAAAUUUCGGUUUAGUGCUAGUAGAUUUUAAGUGGUGGAUCCCCAUUUUUUGAAAAUGAAGUGGCAGCCUCCCAUUUCAAGACAAAAUGGUAGCCUGCCUUUAAUCUUUGGAGAAAAAUCUGUGCAUGACCUUUUUUUUUCCCAAAAAAUCCGUGCAUGGUGUCCUUUAAUAUUUGGAGAAAAAUCUAUGUUGGAUCUUUUCUUUUCUAGAAACAUUUGUGUGGUCUUUUUUGUUAGCCCAAGGGUUCUUCUAAUCAAGUUUUGAUGAUAACAAACCAUGGUUAAGUGACUAAUUGGUUUAAUGAUUAAGAAUCUCAAACAUAAAAUCGAAAAUUCAUCAAAGGACCAAAUGGAUACAAGAUCGAGACGCUUGGAAGACUUGUAAUCAUAGGAAACUAAUGUAAGAUGAAUGCAUGAGUGCACUUAGGAUUUUCACACGUUUCAUGCAACUUAGAAAACCCAGUUUAUUCUUUAAAACUUCAUCCCAGUUUAUUCUUUUUAUGGUUGUGUGUGCUUUCCUUGAUACGUGGCUUAUUUAUUAAGGAUACAUCCCAGUUUUUCAUGGAAUUGACAGUGGGUUGUUGUGUGUGAAUGCCACCAUUUCAACUGUGCUGUUGUUAUUUAAAAAAAAAAAAAAUGGAUUGUGCGCGAGUGGCAAUUCUCCACUAUGGAAAGUGGAUUGCUCCUUCAACCCAUGCAUGGCUACGUAUUCCUAUGUCUUUCUGCUUGUGUGUGAUCCUCCAAAAAAAAUUUUGGUUUAGUGCUAGUAGAUUUUAAGUGGUGGAUCCCCUUUUUUUGAAAACUAAGUGGCAGCCUCCCAUUUCAAAACGAAGUGGUAGCCUGCCUUUAGUCUUUGGAGAAAAAUCUGUGCAUGACUUUUUUUUUCCCAAAAAAUCCAUGCAUGGUGUCCUUUAAUAUUUGGAGAAAAAUCUAUGUGGGAUCUUUUAUUUUCUAGAAAAAUUUGUGUGGUCUUUUUUGUUAGCCCAAGGGUUCUCCUAAUCAGGUUUUGAUGAUAACAAAUCAUGGUUAAGUGACUAAUUGGUUUAAUGAUUAAGAAUCUCAAACAUAAACUCGAAAAUUCAUCAAAUGACCAAAUGGAUACAAGAUCGAGACGCUUGGAAGACUUGUGAUCAUAGGAAACUAAUGUAAGAUGAAUGCAUGAGUGCACUUAGGAUUUUCACACGUUUCAUGCAAUUUAGAAAACCCAGUUUAUUCUUUAAAACUUCAAUUUCAUUAAAACCCGAGUUUUUAACUAAUGUACCUUAGGCAAAAUGUUUUAUAAUUGGCUUAAUAAUUCACCUAAAUACAUUUUCUAAGUGUUAGAAAAGAAAGGAAUUAAAAAAAGGUUUUCGGGGCAAAAAAGGCUCAACCGGUCGAGGCUAUGGUCAACCGGCUCAACCGGUUGAGGAACCAAUCGAUCGGUUGUGCUUGUCCGAUCGAAGACCAAUCGAGGGAUGCCAAAAAAUUUCUCUCUCUCCUAGUGGCCUUCUCUUCCCGGUCGAGGUUCGGUCUAGGCAACGGUAACAUGUCAAGCAUUAAAUGCUCCGACGACUAGUGAAUCGGUCGACCCCUAGCCCGAUCGGACGAGGUUGCCUUUUGCUGUUUUUGACUCCCGAGCUUAGAAACCUAUAAAUUGAGAGCUCCACUUCAUUUAUUGAUAAAAGAGAACACUUGCAUUCAAUAGUCUACCUACCUUUUCUUGAUCAAAAAGCUCUCAUUUCCUUCAUAGUGCAUUAAAUCAUCACUUGCAUAUCCUUUAGUGCACUAUUGUGUGUCAUCCUAGCUUUGUUUUGUAUUUGAGCUAUCCUUAAGCUAGGUUGAGGGAUUAUUUCUUAUAAAAAUCUGAGUGUUAAAGCCUUCAAGAGAUUUGAAUCUUGAAGAGAUUGUGUAAGAGCCCAUUGGAGCCGGAGUCCAAGUGUAAGAAGAUUGGAAGCUUGGUUGAAGCUUCAAGUUAGUGGAACCCUCACUCGGUUAGGAGGUUGAGGAGAGUGGACGUAGGUAAGGAAGUGUCGAACCAUUAUAAACCCGAGUUUGAAUUCUCUAACUCUAUCUCUUUAUUUUGCUUAUAUUGUGUUUGAAUUUGUUGUGAUUGAAAAGAUUUUAAAAACCUAAUUCACCCUCCCCCCUUUUGGGUUUUUUUUUCUUAAUUAAGCAUAACCUUUGUUUUCUAAUUUUCUUUUUAGGAAAAUCCAUGCGUGGUAUGUCCAAACUCUCCAAGUGGCAGUCUGCCUUCUUCUAAAAAAUUUGUUUCUAUUUCUUUAUUCGACUACCUUCCAUGUCUUCCUAAUGAGUGCUUGUGCUCAAUGGUCAAUCCCUGGUGGUUGCCUCCUUUUCCCAUAUAUACGUGUUGCAAAAUCAACAUCCCACUAUAUGUGGGUUGCCUCUAUGGCAAGUUCACAUUUCCCACAUGAAACCUAUGAGUUUCCACCAAAAAUUGCCAUGAAAAAGUCUUUAUAUGCAUCUCAUGCAAUAAAAAGUCAAGCCAAUACUCAUCUUAUCUCGAAAAAUAAGUAACCAAAAUCAAGAUCAUGCCUAAGUGAACUAUGCCAAAAGAAGUGUCCAAGUGACCUAUUAUGAAAAAAGUGCCUAAGUGACCUAAGGUGAAUGUGUGUAAGCUGGAAGGUGUCUAGGAUGUUUAGGACAAUGCCUAAGCCUAAAAUAGGGUUGCCAAGGGUCACAAUGGGGUUAGAUAAAUCUCUCAAUCAGAGUCUCCAAGGUGGCUCAUAAAAGAUAAGCUACACGAGUAAUGAUGGGCCACCAGGGAAUUAUUGUAAAGCACCAAACGAACACAUAAUAGGACAUGUGUUAGAAUGAAAAAAUGGAGGGUUUACAAGUGGUCUCAUGGAUGAGCUUGAUAAUUUAAAUGACUCACAUAAUGAACGUAUGUGAUGUUUCUCUCCAAUAACAAGCAAAACAUCACUAGCAAUAUGAUGAAUGUCUCCUAAAUCACUUGAAGUAGUCCUAGCAAAUCAAUUAGAAAAAUCACACAUAUUGCUCUAAUGUAAUAUUAUAUACAUCUGUCAAUGAAUGGGAGAACUAAUGACACAACCAUCAUGUUGAUAUCUCGAACCCUCUAAUCUCAUAUGUAGGUGGGAUCACACUUAGAAACUCAUAACACAGUAAUGACCAAUCUAAGUCAAAAUGUGUUGGUGAUCGGAGGCCCAUGAAUAUGAAGUUCUAGGAUGAUAAUGACAUCUUAUAAAGUAAUGAUCAUCUCCUUAAUAGAUAGGUGAAAUGUGUGUGUCUUAGGACACCAUCUCUCAACAAGACUUGUGAUCAAUCCCCAGUCUAGUGUAACAUGCCUAUUAUGACAUCCAUCGUAAAAUCUAGACUAGAUAAUAUAAGGACAAAUGUGAGGGUUCAUCUCCCUUUCCCACAUAAAUUUAAAAAAUUAUUAUUGACAAGUUAAGACCAAACUAAGUUGCAAAAUAUAAAUAAGUCCAUUAGAUAACAAAUUUAUGUUUUCUCAUUUUCUCAUUUUUAAAGAGAUAUUAUGUGCUUCCAUGUACAUACAUGCUAAAGUCAAUUAUACGAGACUUAUAUCCAUCUUGUAGAACCAAAUCGAACCUAUCUAAUAGAUCCAGAUUAGAAGUAUGUCCUCUAUACUCCAUAUUUAUAACACAUUUAUAAAGAUAAAUGCUAAAAAAAUGUUAAAGAUAUAAAUUUAAUGAACCAUACUUUAUGAUUUUAAUUCUCAAUUAUUGUUCAUAUUUAUAAGAGAAAAGUUAAAAAAAUUGAUAGAGUUUUCCCUCUAUCAUGGACAUUAUCCCAAAUAAAAAUAAAUUGAUUAUGCAAAUUACAUUAAUAUUUGUAACCAAAUGAUCAAUAACUAUCUUGUAUCAAUUUAGUAAAUAAAUUUAAGUAUAUCUUUUCAUUUAUGACUAACAAAUAACUCAUACUUGUCCAAUAAAAGCCACACCUAAUUUCUAAAAUUUUGUCUUCACCUCAAGUGAGUGUUACAUUGAGAAAGAAAAAAUAUGAAAGAAAAAAUGAACACCUUUUUCUUUUAAUAAAAAAAGGCCAUAACGAAACAUUAAAUCUCACUGUUACACCUAUCUUCAAUGGAAACAUGAGGAUGUGAAUGGUGGCGGUGAUAUUCUUUGCUUGAAGCUCAUAAACAAAUAUUCCUUACUAAGCCUAUGCCAUUUAGUAUUUCAAUAGUGGACCCCCCCCCCCCCCCCCCCCCCCUCCUUGCAUUUCAGAUUUAGCAAACUUAGAACCAAAUAACAAAGUGCAUUUGAACCCAUAAAGAAGUAAUGAGACUCUCCUAUAUUGGCAAUAGAAGAAAUUUUUGGAGGUAUAGGAGAUUCACGGAUGAAGAAGUUGGGCCCCAAUUGAGAUAAGACCCAAGAAAAGAUGGGGUAGAGAGGGAUGGUUGGAAAUUGUAAAGUAAGAUUUUCAAAAUGUAGUUGAUGACUAAGAUUUUGACAAUUUAAAAAAGGUUUAAAAAUGUAGUUAGCAAUCGGGGUUUUGUAACAUUUAAAAAAUAAAAUAAAAUCUCAGGCCACAUGGUAGCCCAUGUGAUUCAGAAGCUUGAGAAUUAUUUUAUAAGAAGACUUAAUUUGUGAUUUUUUUAUAACUAUAUUAUUUUUUUUCUUAACACACGAAAAAAAUUAUGAAAUAAGACAAUUUUCCUAAGAAAGCAUGUAAGUGACUCUUGGUUAUUUUAUUUAACUUCUUCUAGUUUGGAGAGGAUUAAUACCUUUGCUUUUACUCACUUGCUUGGAUAUGUACACGUUGUUCAUGUCACUUUUCAUUUAAUUUUCUGAUUAAGGGAAUUGGAACCGUACGUAACUGUCUUUAUUCCCUCUGAAACUUGGACUUGGAGUUGGACUUUCAAUCUCAUCAGUCGUGUUUCCAUAAAAAAGAAGAUGGAUUAACCAAUUUUCCUAUGCCUACUAAUCAUACACAAAACUCCACUUCCAAAUAAAAAGGAAUGGGAUAUCACUUGUUAAUAGUGGCUAAAGACUAUUAAUAACCAUGCAAAGAAAUGUCACAUUUUUUGUUCUACGCAAAUUUUAUUCAUCAACUACUAGAACCAUUUCAUACAAUAGUAGCUUUUCGAUCCUUUGAUAAAUGGACACUUGAUGUGAUAACACCAACUACACCUAUAUAUUCAAGCAAUCAUGCGUAUAUAAUAGUGGAUAUGGAUUACUUCUCUAAAUGGGCAAAAGUUUUGUCAUUCAAGGAAAGUGAACGAGGAAACACAAGUUUACUUUCAUCGGAACUAAUAUUAUAUAUUGAUAUGACUUCCCAUUAUUACUUACGAUGGAAUAUGCUUCCAUAAAAUGGCCUAGAUGAACAAACUAUCCAAGAAGUUUGGGAUCAAAUAAUAUAUAUAUAGUUCAUGUGUGAUUCUUUGGUUGACAACCUUGUUAAGGGGUGAGUGAAGCACUUUGGGCAUACCACAUACUACAUGCUAGACUUCCACCCAAGCUACCCUAUAUUCCUUAUGAACAAAGUAGAAGUUGUCAUCUCUCUUGAAUACCAAAUCCUUUCACCUAAUAAUGCUAUCUAAAAAGGUCUUAAAAAGGAUAAAAAUGCGCAUAUUUGAAUUUUUGAAUUAGGAGUGCUACUUAAAAAGAAGCUAGAUAUACAAUAAUAGAAUGUUAUCAAGCAUAUCUCUUCAAAGUUUUUGACCAAAAAAUAUAUGAUUUCUCAUUUUAGGUAGGAGACUUAGUACUCACUAUUCAAAAACCAAUUAUCAUUACUCAUAAAAACUAAUAGAAAGUUUGGGCCAAAGUAGGAUGGACCUUAUAUUAUGCAACAAUUAUGCCUAUAAAAUUGUUGCAAAAGAGGUUUUAGAAUCAAAUCAAUGAAUGAAAAAUUAUUAAAGCAUUACUAUGCUUGAAGGCUAGUCAUUUUCCCUUAAAGUGCAAUAUUAAGUUGCAUAGUACUAUGUGGAUCCGCAUUUUUCACAUGCGUUCCCACUCAUUGUCGAGACUCACUUUUUAGAAGUGAAAAAUUAGUUUUAUUAAAGUCGAAGUUGCCACUGGGGAUUUGAACCCUAACAAAAGGUUCAAUUUAAGGAUAAAAAUAUCGAUAAUCACAUAUAUAUAUAUUGGUACUUUGAUUUUAUGAAUAUAUUGAAGAAAUAUGGACAAAUAUUUUGACACAAAAUAUGUACAAAAUAAAAAUUAUAUAAAAAGUAAAAAUAAAUAUUUUAAAAUUAUUUUUUUAAAUAUAUAUAUAUAUAAUUUGACAUAUUUGAUAAUAAUAUAUAAGGGUCUCCAAAAAGCCCGUGGCCCGCUUUAGGCCCGGUCCGACCCGACAGGCUAAAGCCCGGCCCAAGCCCGCCGGGCCCAAGCUCGGCCCGAGCCCGUUUAUGGGUGGGCCGGGCCGCGAGCCCGUAGGCCUGCUCCUUUAAAAAAAAACUACAAAAAUAAAAAGUAUUAAAAAAAAUAUUCAUUUCAAAAUUUUAUUCAUUGAAUGUAUAAUUACAUUUGAAAAUGUGGGAAAAGUUUACAUCACUACAAAAUAAAUACAUCCCAACUAGGUUGGCACCUAUUUAUUUGUCAAUCAUCUGUAUUUUUCAACCACAAAAAAUAAAAAUAAAAAUAUAAUAUACAUUUAGUCAUUAUUUUCUGGCGGUGAUGGCGAACUAUCAUGCAUCCAUGAAGAUCUUGAUAAUUUUAAAGAUUCCAUAUCGGUAAGCAUCUUUGUUUCUCGAAUGGAAUCAUACAUCCUUUUAUCUGCUAUUUCCCAAUCUUUCACACAUAUCCCUGCUUUAAUAACAUCUGACGCUAAGUUGCAUCGUUUUUUACUAACUACUCUUCCACCUGCACUAAAAGCAGCUUCUGAUGCAACUGUACUCACAGGAACUGUUAGUACAUCACGAGCAAUUAUAGAAAGCACAGGAUAUUUGUGUUGAUGUGAUUUCCACCAUAUUAAAAUAUUAAAAUCUUCUUGAUCUUCAAAUGAAAUUAUAUCAGUAUUAAGAUAUUUAUCUAAAUCAGAUGUAUUAUUUGGAGAAUUAUUUGUUGUCUUUUUUCGACUUUUCAACAUUUCUAGAGCUCCUUUAUAAAAAGAUGAGGAGUUUGUAGAUGUAGGUGGUAAUUUAAUAGUAUUAAUAUCAUUACCAUAUUUUUCUUUAUAAUAGUUAUAUAAAUUAUAUAAUAAUGAAUUUAUUUCAUUUUUAAUUUCUUCAAUUUUUAUUUGGUCAUUAAAAUAAAUAAUUGUUAACCAUUCAUCCAAAGCUUCAAAUUUCAAUCUAGGGUCCACAAUUAAAGCAAUAUAAAAAAUUAAAGGUAUUUCUCCCCAAUAUUUUCUAAAUUUUUAUAUCAUUACAAAUAUUGUAUCAUUAAAUAUUUCAAAACUUAAAUAUUUUUGAAGUACAAUAAAAAUAUUAGUUAUUUGCGUAAUAACUCGAUUUGAAGUUGGAUAAUAUACACCACAAAAAAUGUUUGUUGAAGUAUCAAAAAUUUCAAAAAGAUCUCUUAAAACAUCCGCAAUAUGCCAAUCAUAAUCAUUUAAUGCAUAAAUAUCUGCUUCAUAAUCAUUGUUAAUUAAUUGUAUUUCAUAUAAUUCGACUACUUUUCUAUAUUUUGUAAUAUUUUCUAAAAGUUUAUAUGUGGAAUUCCAUCUAAUAGCCAUAUCCAAAUUUAUAUUUUUUCUUUUCAUAUUUAACAUUUUGCAACAAUCAAAAAAUAAUUCAUGUUUUGCUUGAAAACUAUUAAUACUAUAUGCAAUGCCUCUAAUUUUUUUCCAAUGUACUAUCAACAUUUUUUAAUCCAUCCUUUACAAUUAAAUUUAAAAUAUGUGCACAACAACGCACAUGAAAUAUUUUAGCAUGAUCUUCUUUUACUUGCCAAUAUCGUUUUAGUCUAUGUAUUGCUGCAUCAUUAUUAGCAGCAUUAUCUAAUGUUAUUGUCAAUAUUUUAUCACGAAUGCCUAAAUCUAUAAUUUCAUCAUUUAUUAAAGAUGCUAUAUUUUUACCACUAUGUGGAGUAUUUAUUAAUUUAAAUAAAAUUAUUCUUUUAUUUAAUUUCCAUUCAUUAUCAAUGUAGUGAACAAUUAUAUAUAAAAAACCAGUAUGAGUUAAAGAUGUCCAAAUGUCAGAUGUUAAACGAAUAUUUCCUUCAAAAUUUGCAAAAUUUUUUUUUAAAAUUUCUUUUUGUGUAUAAAUUUUUUUCAUAAUAUCUCUUUUAACUGUAUUUCCAGAUCAACCUUUAAAUUGAGGAUUAAUACCUCGUUGAAUUGUUCUUGCAAAAUCAUGAGUUUCCAUCAUGUUGAAAGGUUGUUCUGCUCUUAUUAUAUAAUCAAUCAUUUCUUCACAACAGUUAGAUUCAUCAUAAGAAAAUGUUUUUAAAUUUCCACUUUCAUUUUUACUUAAUUGCAUAUAAUUUCUAAUAUCUACAUUAUUUUUAGUUUUACAAUUUUCAUGAUGUCUUUUUAAAUGACUUGUAUCUGCAUUUGAGCCACCAGUAAGAAAUUUAUUACAAAUUUUACAUUUUGCUUUUAUUUUUUUUUUAUUAUUUUCUAAAAUUAUUUCUAUUCUAUCAAAAAAAUUCCAUAUAUUUAAAGUAAAUUUUUUGUUUGAUGAUAUUUCAUCACAUGGACUAGACGAAGAAGCACUUGUCAUAUUAUAAUUAUUGAUAAAAUAUUAUGCCAAAAAUAAUAAAGUAAUAAAUAUAAAAAAAAAUGUAACAAAAAAAAUAAAGUAGUAGGGGUGAAGUAUGUUACUCAAUUAGAGAACCUAUGCAGAAAUUCCUAGCAAAUUUGAACUCUUGGAGCCACCAAUGCUUGUUUUGCACCAUCAACAAUAUUGUAUAAUUUGAGGGAAAAAUAAAAGAAUUUAAAAUAUUGUAGAAUGUGAGAGAAAUAGAGAGAAUUUGAUGAAAAAAUGAAAAGGAAGAAAAUGUAUUUAUAGGAAGGUUAAAAAUAAUAAUAAUAAUAAUAAUAAUAAUAAUAAUAAUAAUAAUAAUAAUAAUAAUAAUAAUAAUUGGCCAUGUGACCGUUGGAGGCUUAGCUCCAACGGUCACAUGGGCUGGAGCUAGGCUCCAACAGUCACAUGACCGUUGGAGCCUUUAAUUUUUUUUUUUAAAAUAAUAUACUUUAUUUUUAUAUAUAUAUAACUAACUCAAUUAAUAAACAUAAAAAGAAUAUAGUUCAGUUGGUUAGAACCUUGAAGUUUAAACAUGAGGGGAGGGGUUUGAAUCCCUCCCUCUCCCUUAGGGGCUUUUUUAAAAGCCAUUUUGGCUUAUUUCAAAAAGCCUGUCGGCCCGACCCGCCCUGCAGCCCGCGGGCCUAGCAUUUUAGCAUGGCCUGGUCUGUUGACUAGUCAAAUGGCUCAUAGGCUCGGCCCGAACUGGGCCGCGGGCCUCUUAUUUACGGACCGGCCCGACCCGGCCCGCCCGUUGGAGACCCUUGAUAAUAUCUUCUAUAUUAAGUUACAUUAUAGUUUAUUUUACAAUAUUAUUAUGAUAAUAUGUCUAAUUUUAAAAUAUAUUUAAUAUUAAAAUUAUGAUCUAUUUUAAUUUAAAUGUAUUCAAUGAUAUCAAAUAAAUAAUAAUAUAUGUAUAAUUCUUUUAUUAUUUAUAUUUAUUAUUUUUAAUAAAUAUAUAGAUUAUAUAAAAAAGACCGGAUAUAUCUUUUCAAAUUUUGUAUCGCUCUCCAAGGAUAUUAGAUGUAUGGGAAUUUGUAUUGCUAUCUACGGAUACGUUGAUAUAUGGGUGAUUUAUCAGGAUAAUUAGAAAUUCUAAUUAUGUAAGCAGGUACGGAGUUCUGUGUCGGUGCGAUCUUGUCGACAACAGCUCCAAAUUGUGCAUCUUGCUCAUAGAGAGUAGCGGAAUGCACCAAUCGUAGGCUCAGAGUACCACUGAGUCGUCUGGCAGAGACCCAACUGAAGGUGCCUGUGUUGUUCCUGAUCUGAUCAGGCUUCAAACUACAAGGUGGAAUACUGGUUCCCCUAUAUCAGAAGCUGGAGAUACCCACCCCAUAUGCUCGUCUGGAUGUGCUCCUACCCUUUGAAGCCUUCUUCCGAGUCAAGUCCGAAUUGAUAAGGCUAGUGAGUUCCCAACCAACUGUACUCAGCAUGCUGCCAGGUGGAGACCCUCCAUAUUUGAUGGCUUCCUAAUAUUAAAAUGCUGACCACUGGUCUUCAUGUUCCACAGGCUUAAUUGUGUCCUUUGCUGAAAGAAUGGAUAGUGAUCCAUUUUAACACAUGAUUCACGCCGUCUUUGCCAUUCUUCAUGGUCUAGCCCUUUUAUAUAUAUGCUUCCUGAACUGUUGCUAUUAAUAAAAUGUGGUAUCUAUCCCGUACACCUUCCUGAUGGCCAGCGAAUGCAGAAGCUACAGAAACGGUUCCAUCUUUUGCUUCCGCCACUUUGGCAUCCUCCAUGAUGAGAUCGAAGGUGAAUAAUCAUAUUCUGGGGAUUUAUGUCCUGGAUAUUCUCAGUAAUGCCCAAUUUCCUGGUGCCGGCCUCAUUUCCAUGGGAACUGAUGGAUAACUUAAGGCUUCUACCAUCUGCGUGGUUCGCUUCUAACACAGGAAACUUCACGGCUAAAAGCAAGAUACCAAGAACAUCAAGGCUGUGACAAAAAUUAGUAUUUUUAACUUGUAGGAAUUUGAAAGGCAACCAACCAUCUAGCUCUGUUCUUAAAGCUCCCAUAGGAGGAUCAGAGGCUGGAUUGCUCAAGAUGAACUCAUCCAUUGUUGCACUUAAAAAGAAUUGGCAUGAAUUGUGGCCGCUCUAAUAGGUUCCCUAAACCAUCAUCCAAGUGGGCUUGCGGAAGGUAGCGAGUUUAAAACACCUAGGGCGAUGAACAGUGGACUGUGAUGCUCACAAAAGAGAAAAGGAAGAAUUCAAUAAUUCCUAAGAAUCCAUUUGCCUGUCAUCCAAAUUUUUAUAUUCUCUUCAGUCUGACGCGUUAUGCCAUAUAUUAAAAAUAGCGGCUUCUUCCAAGCCGAGACAGACUGUGCAAAGUUCGCAAGGCCAAUCAUCACCAUAAUCUGAAGUUGGCCUCCUCAAUCGCAGCUUGUAUCCGAAUGCUCACUUCACGGGAUGGAUUGUAAUGAAAACUAAUCUCAGUCCCAGCUAUGGCAGCAUCCUCACUUGACAGCAUUUUCUGCAUAUUCUAGAACAAAGCAAUAAACCCUCAAAGGCUCCUUCGGAUCAGAGUUAGAAGACUGUCCCUCAGGAACGUGAACACUAUGGUGGUUCUGAUAAGCAGUGAUAUUGCAUUAGAGCCUUUUGGAACAAGAGGAUCUUUUCAGGUGGAAACUGUAAACUGCUUCAUGUUGGGCUGCAACCUUUUCUUCAAGCAAUACUUUCUUUCUGUAUCACGACUUAUGUUGCUUCCGGAGCCAUCCCGUGUGGACUGCCCUUCAGUGAAAGAAUAUGUGUGUUGACAUGUUGGAUUGUAAUCUUUGUUCCACUCUAAUGGCUUUUGGUCCUCCUCUUUCUCUUUAUGACAGAGAACCAUUUAGUGAUCCAUCUCUAUAUUGUAGCAUUGCUGGUGCUUUGCAAUACUACACUCUCACCAAGCAUAACAUCUAUUUUUCCGUGACCAAAGUAUGUCGGUUUAUGCAUGCGCAAACUCUUAUUCAUUGGCAAGUUGUCAAGCGUAUCUCAUGAUUUCCCAAAGCCACAAGUUCUUAUGGUCUUUCUGUUCAAGCUUACAAUGAUCUAUCUUUUCUUGGUUAUACUGAUGUCGAUUGGGCUAGUUGCCCUGAUAACAAGCACAAUACUAGUGGGUACAACACUUUUCCUGGUCCUAAUCUCAUUUCAUGGGCAUUUUCAAAGCAGAAGGUUGUGUCUCACUCCAAUAACGAAUCUGAAUAUAGGGGACUCACUAAUUAAUGUUGUUGCCAAGGUCACUUGGAUUGAAUCUGUCUUACGUGAGUUGCGUGUUUCUCUACCCCAACCACCAAUUUUGUUGUGUGACAACAUUAGUGCUACACACUUGGACAAACCAUGUUGAAAUACACUAUCAUUUUAUCCAUGAAAGGCUUAUGCAUCACACACUCAAAAUUCAAUACACCUCUUCUAUAGACCAACUAGUCAAUGCUAUGACCAAAGCUCUUCCUUCAUCUCACUUGUACAAUCUUCAGUGCAAGCUGAUUGUUCUUCCCAAACCACUCAACUUGAGGGGAGAUGUUAAGCCAAUUUAAUAAAUUGAUUUCUUUUGGUUAAUUUGUUAGAAUCAUUUUUAUUAGAGGUUUGUUUGUACAAUUACAUCCAUUUAUCAGGAGAGUACACGUGUACAACUCCUCUUUUAAUCUCACCAUUGUAUAUAUAUGAUACACGACCUUACUCAGAAUUGCAUAACAUUUCCUCUGCUCAUUCCUUUUCUUCUUUGAAUUUUCCCUUACCUCACUGAUUUUGAUUUAUACCUGGUGUUUUCACCUUUGGUCUCUACCUUUCUAGCCAGUUUUCUAAUUAAUCCGUAUAUGGUAUACCUGUCAACUAAUGAGGAGAAAGAGAAAAGGGGAUUGCUGUUCCACCAGCUACAUAUAAUAAUUAAUUACAAUCAUGGUAAUGGAUCCUGAAAUCCAUCCUUUGUGGAUUUUGUACGGAAUAUUGUUGUUAUGUAUGUGGGCUCACUUAGAUGUAUAUUGCUAGCCUGUCUGGGAAAUGUGAUUGCAGGUCCAGAUUAUGAUGUUGAUAUUAGUGGGAUAAGCAAGAGAUGCAGUUAACACGUAUGUGAUGGACUUGAGUAACUUUUCCAUUUCAGUCCAUUUUUUAAGAUUAUGCUUAGUCUUAUUACAAGGAAAGACCAUAAGAAUCAUGAGUCAUUGGCAAGGUAAUAUCAUUCCCUCUUUACAGGCUUCUUCACCUUUUGGUUUUUUUAAUAUCCAUCAAGAUCUUUUAAUUGGAGGACAAUUACAAGUAUAUAUAUAUGUAUUAAAAGGGGAAAAUAUUAAAACAGGAAAUUUUAGGGAAAAUAUAAUAAUUAUUUCUUCCUUCUUUCCCAUAUAGAACUACACAAAAUAAAACUUUAAUAAUUUUUUCUUAUCUUUUUUAUUAUUAUUUUUUCUUAGAAACAUCCGUGGUCUCACAAGCUUGUAAUCCUAGAUUGUUAGGCUCCUUUAACAGUGCCCCAACAUCGUGGUCCAAUGACAAGCUUCCACGCCUUAAAAUCAGAAAAUGCCAUUAAACUUUAUCAGACAUUACAGUUCAAGACAAAGCUUUCAUUUGCUUAAUGUGAUAAUGAAAUUGUUAAUUUCAUUUCGUGGGCAUCUAAAUUUGGACGAGCAAGACCUCUGAAUUCCCUGUUUUUAUCACCAGCAGAGGAGAUAAAAUCUUAAUGGUGAGAAUCUCCACGUGAAAUUUAUGUGUACUGUCAACAUAUUUUUGUUUAUAUAGUCCAGUAGCUGCAGGAAGUCUAGAUUAUAUAGGUAGCAGUAGCACUAUUUAUAGCACUCGAUAUUCGCUGUAUGAAUACAUUAAACCUUGUUUUCAAUACGCAUCACAAGCAAGUACUAGAUACUACAAGGAGUGACAGUCGCAUCAACAUUUCUUGAUAAUAGCAGUGACUGAUUUAUACACAGAACAGUACUGUACACGUACCAGUCACCAGAGAUAGGAUCUUAUUCCUACAUACGACUCUUAUUGAUCGAAGUCACUCAGUUGGGGUAGCCUGGAGUUGGAGGUUUGUGUGGUGGCUUCUUCUUUGGAGGAGGCUUUAUCUUUGGAGGCAUCAUCUUUGGAGGCAUCUUGUGUGAGUCUUCUUCAGCAUUCUCUACAGGAGGAUGGCCAGGCUUAUGACCCUUAGGUGGUUUGCCAACUGGGAUUGGUGGCUUGUGUCCUGAGAGUGGCUCCUCUUCUUCGGGAGGUUUGCCAACUGACGUUGGUGGCCCGUGUCCUGGGGGUGGCUUGUGUUUUGGGGGUGGUUUCACUCCACCGGGAGGUUUACCAAUUGGUGUUGGUGGUUUGUGCUCAAUCGGUGGCCUCUCAACUGGGGGGCGCUUGGGGUAAUCAGCGAGUGAAGAAGUGGUGAGAACCACCACUCCAAGCAACAACACUAGCAAGUAUGUGGAAGACAUCUUUGAGUUUGGCUCAGAUGGUGUAGAACUAGAAUCCUGGGUGGCCUUUUAUAUUAGUUGGGCCCUAUGCCCGAACGACAAGUGUCAUGGUGACACAUAAAGUGAUGGGGUCGAUUUGGGCCUACCGGAUUUGAAAACUUGGACAAUUCGAGAAGCGUCUCCUGACUCCGGGUUGUAAAGUGAAAGAUUAGGUAUCGACCAUUGAAGUAUGAUCACAACUUUUGGCCUUUGGCUCUCUCUACUGCCGUAUAGCUUUUUUCCUUUGGAUAUUUUUCUUAGCUAGACACAAUUAUUGAGCAGUCUAAUCUCGAAAUGGGAUUAGUAUAGCUUUAAGCAAAUUUAUUAUAGUUAGUGGAGGACUUUUAAGAGUGCAGACGACAUUUAACACAUGCAUGCAGUAGUAUAGGGGACAUAACACUAUUCUUUUUCCAAAGAUUCACAUGAUUUUUAUAUUAUAGUAUUGGCACAUUGUAUGUAGCUGGUUUUGUGGUUAAAAUUCCAUAUGUAGACACUGGCGUUUCUCCAUUUCUCACAAUUGAUGUUUACCUCCACGAUUACUAGAUUAGAUAUACCAAACAAUAACACAUUGUAUAAUCUAUCCGCCCUUCAAAAUCUACUGUAUGAUGAAAUGUUUCAUGUGUGUGUGAAGUGUUAGAAAUGCACUAUAGGCAACAUCAUCUUCUUUUGUCUAGGCUUGGGCCUCAAAUUAUACUCCCAUGCCAUGAUAAAUUUUCAUGUGCAUUCUCUAAAGAAGAGUGUCUUGAAUGUGCCAAAUCAUUUUGAUUGAUUUUAUGAUGUUAAUUGCUCCGCAUAUGGAUGGGUAUGUGCUUUAUUUGCUUAUUCAAUCCACAAUUACCUUGAACUGAAGUCCUAUUGGAGCUCUAUUAUUUUAGCAACGUCCUGUCAAAUAGGCUGCUAACUUGGGGUGGUAUGGACCCAAUGAUCCAUCUUAAUCUUGGGUUGAUUUUGUCUGACUCUAUCUAUCUCAGAGAGAACCAGGAUCACCAGUGCUGGUCUGCUUAAAGAAGACUCAGUACUGGAUUAAUAUUGGUUUGGGUCAAUAGCUUAUAAUGCAUUGAAUGCAGAAUAAACAAGAUCAAUGAAACCCAAAACACACUGCCCACACAACUUCACUCUGGUGUCUGUUAUUCAUCAAUUCUAUUCCCACAUGAACUGGUUCAAGUUUAAGAAAAUGACAACGGAUCCACUGUAUUAACUUGGUUUUGCUUGGUUUUGAGCUAGUUGCCAAACCAGCCAUGAGUUUUACCUCUAAUGUCAAUGAACAAACCCCAAAUGAACAACUGCAACAGCUUAAAGAGAAGGAAUGGAGAUGAAAAUCCCUGUUUCUUCUCAUUCUGGGGACAAAUUAGAACAUAACUACAAAGGUUCUAUUAAUUGACUUACUCUACCAUGAAUUAUGGUUCUUUGGUUUUCCAAAUUUAAAUUGUACAUGAGAUUAUUUUUUUCCUUUAUAUAUAAACAUAUUAAGGUUUUCUUAUUUCGUGGGCAAAUGCGCUAAGGAUGAAAGUCAUUUCAUUUGGCUGCAACAGCAUCUUAUAAUCAACAUGCAUAAGCAGCAGUUUUAAUUGAUCGAUUGAACACCGACUCACAAGAAUAGAUAGAAUGGUACAAGACAGCUCUUAUUAAUUUAUACUCGUUACUCAUUUUAUGUAGCCCCAUUAAGAUGGCUGGCUGGACCACCGAGGUCUGGGGGUGGUGUUGCUUGUGUGAUGCAGCGGGCCGGGCAGACACUUCUCUAGUUGCUUCUAUUUGGAGUUAGAGGAUCAGUCUCUGCCAACCUUGAGGACUCUCUACCUCAGAGGGUCCAGGUGGUGGACUCUGGUGUCGGUAGCUUUGAACUCUCAGUAGACUAGUGUGUCUUAAUCAGUCACUGCCAGAGGCUGGCGUAGGCAGUGACGAUAAGGUGAGACAAAUUACCGAAUAGUCAAUAUCGACUGCACUUGACCAUUAUAGAUUUGUUCUGACAAAAGUGAGAAAAGGGAGAAAAUCGGAUGUUGACCUUUAUAGAAAAAGAUAAGAUUUACUGCAACACAGAGCACUGAUUUGUUACUUGGAAACCAAGUUAUGCUAUUAGCUAGCCUCCAUUAGCAGCAGGGUACCUUGCUGCCUGAUCCUAAUCUGAGUUCCCAAGGUUUCAAUCUUCGUUUGUUAACGCUUCAGGAUUUGGAUAUUUCAGCUUCGUUUCUCCAUUUAGCCAACGCUGCCUGGUUUGGAUUUCAAUCCUCAUCUGGAACAUUCUUUUUUCGGUCUGAUUCAGGAAGUGUUUGGUGAUAGUUGAUUAAAAUUAAACAGUACUAUCAUACAAAUAAAGCUGAUCUAAUUUUGGUGGGCAAUAUACCAACUCAUUUAUUCUUGAAAACACCAUGGGGAAUUGGAGGUCCAUCCGAAGUACUAUUUGAUGGGACUCACAAAAAGAACAGGUGCACAUUUAUGAGAUCCGUGGAAGAGAUAACUAUGACAGCUAUGCAUGUACAACAGAUUUAUGUCGAGUUCACCUCGUAGAUAUUUUGUUUUCAGUGUCGGUGGACCCCAAAAUGGAAAUCGGAAAUUAAGGUUAUAUUUAUUUUUUUAUUUAAUUUUAAAUAGAAUUUUAAUUUUUAAUAAUAUUAAGUAUUAAAUUAUUUUUUUAAGGGUAUUUUAUUUUUAUUAAGUAUUAAAAAGUAAAAAAAAUUAAUAUGUUGCUUUUUUAUUUUAAAAAAAUUAUAUAUUUUAAUUUUUUCUAUUUACUAAAAAGUUUAUAAUAAAUUAUAAAAAAAUAAAAAAAUAAAAAACUUAAAUUCUGAAAAUAAAUUAUUUUUAAUAAAAAAAUCCAAAAAAGCAAACACCACCUAAAUUUGAGAUGACUCAAAAUUUUAUAUUUUUUUUCACCUAAAUUAUAUUCAUAAAUUUAAAAUUAAAAAAUUAGGAAGUUGAAUUUUAUUUUGGAUAAUUGGAAACUACAAGAAAUCAAUAAAAAUAUUUGGAAAAAAAAGAAAAAGAAAAACUAUCUAUAUAUUCACCCCCUUCUAAGAAACAUAACUUUAGUUUUUAACUAUUUUUUAAAAUAAUUUUUGAAAAAUGUUAUAUAAUAUUUUAUAAAACAAAAAAUCUGUUUGACAAUUUGAUAUGUCUUUAACUUAUUUUUAAUAUUUAUAUAUAUAUAUUUUAAAAAUAAUUUUAUAUUUAGAACUUUAUCUUUAAUUAUUAUAUAUAUUUAUAUAAUUAUUUUUUUUAAAACAACUCUUAAAAAAUAAGUGAAAGUAAUUGAAAACAACUCAAAGAUAUUUGAUGAAAACACUCUAAUUUGUAUUUUUGAGAAUAAAAAAAUAAAUAAAUAAAUUUCUAGUUAUCAAAUGUAUUUUUUAAUUCUUUUAUUCUAAAAAAUAGAAAAUCGUUUUUGAAAAUAAUUAUUAAACAACAUUCUUAAAAAUUCACUCGUUACAAUCUAGAUUUAAUGCAAGAAUGAUUGAAGGAGUCCUCCAAUAGAACCCAAAGUUAUAAACAUGAACAAGAAGCCCUAGAAACACCAAAGAUCUCAUAUGGUAUAUAUAUGAGCUUGAUUGAGAACUGUUUUAAAUUCAGUUUUUUUUUUUUUUUUUUUUUUUUGUUUUCAAAGUCAAAACAAGUUUACUUUUAAUUUUUACUUCUUUUUUUUAAUUUUAUAAAUAACAGUUUUUUAAUAAUUUAUUUUGAAAACAUGAUUAUUUUUAAAACUUAUAAUGAAAAUAGGAAUUUUUUUUUUAAUAUCAUGGUUAUUUUCCCUUCUUUUAAGGAGGGCUAUUUUAAAAAUAAAUUUACAAAUAUGAAAAAUGAUUCAAACUAAAGCAGUACAAAUAAAAAACAUUUUUAAGAAAUAUUUAAAAAUAGAGAAAAUUAUUUGAGAACAUUUGAAGUCCUUAAAUAGACUUUUGUUUUAGAAAAGGCAAGAUAAUUAUUUUUGAAAAUUGUUUUCAUAAUGAUAUGCAAAAACCUACGUAAAAACCAUAAUUAUAAUCGGCCACAUAUCAAAUCUACUAAAUAUGAAAAGUAAGUACAUAAUUAUAUUUGACUUAGAUGCAAGGAGGAAAAUGUCGCGAUAUUAUCGCCGAAAUAUCGUGUGUCGAAGGGUAUCGACACGAUUUUUCUUGCAGAAAUAUCGGCCAGUCGAUUUUUCGGGAUAAAUCUCGAGAAAUCGGCAAUUUAUCGCGAUAUAUCGGCGAUUUUUCCUCGAUAUAUCUUCUGGUCAACGCGGGUCAACGGAGUCAACACGCUACAGUGAAAGUCAAAUGUGCUACAAUGUCCCCGCUACAAUCACCUCCCCAAACAAAUUGCCAAAUUGCUUCCGAGGGGAUUUGAACCAGCCUUCUUGCCAUUUGGGCUAACUCGCCCUUAUGAUAUAUAUUGCAUUAAACAUAUAUAUACUUAAAGUCCUUAUAUAAAGAAAAUGUUAAAAAAAUAUUUUAAAGAGCAAAUUAAUUAUAAUUAUUUUAUAAUUAAAAGCAAAAUUUUCUUUUAAUUAAUUACCAAAAAUAUAAAAAUUAUAUAAUUUUCUUCAUAAUGUUUUUAAUAUCAUUAAUAAUUAAUUAAAUAUUAAAAAAUUAUAUAUAUAUAUAUAUAUAUAUAUAUAUAUAUUAUAAUUUAUUUUAUAUUGUUUAAUACAAUUGAAUUAAAUGGAUCAUAUUUUAAUAUUAAUAUAUAUUUUAAAAUUAGACAUAUUGUAAUCAAAUAUCAUAAUAUUAUAUGUAAUUUAAUAAUAAAUGUACACUUAUAAAAUUCAUAUUUUUAUCGAUGCAUACAAUAUUAUUAUCAAAUAUGAUAAAUCAUGUUAUACAUAUAUCAAAAUUUUCAAUAAAAUAACUUUAAAAUGUCUAUUAUACUUCUAAUUAUAUUAUUAUGAGGUUUUCUUUACAUUUUCAUGAGUUUUAAACAAUUUUAAGCACCAAUAUUUUUUUCCAAAAUAUCCACCGAUAUAUCUCCGAUAUAUCCAAUAUAUCUCCGAUAUCUCCGAUAUAUCCGUAAAAUCGAAGUACCGAUAUAUCCGUGAUUACCGAUAUUUUCAUCAUUGCUUAGAUGCAACCUUCUUCCAAAUGACAUACUUUAGUCAAUACUUAUAUUUUUUCGUUUCACUUCUUUGAUACAACACCUCAUGGAUUUAUUGUUUAAUUUAUUUGUAAUUAUAAAACUAUUUUUCAUUUUUAAUAAGACUUGAAUUAAUUUAAUAAAUAUUAUAUAAUUUGAAUUUAUAAUUCUUUUUAUAAAAUCAAAGUAUAUUAAAAAAAAAACAAUUUAUCCGAAGAAAGUUUUUUAUUUUUUAUUUUUUAAAACCGAUUUUAAAAAUAACUAGCUAGACACCCUUAUUUUGAUAAAAUACGAAAUAAAAGUGUAAAAACAACAUGGCCAAAUAGGGGCUUAAAUUUUAUUUUUAAAACAUUUUUUUACACUAAAGUGCAUUUUAAAAACACCAUCAAAACCAACUACAAGUUAUGCUUCUUCCCGUAAUAGAAAUAUUUUAGGCCAAAAUAGAACCUCCCCAAAUAAAGACCCUAUACUAAACUCCUUUUCAUUUUAUUAAUACAAAAGUGGGGAAAAAAGGUCUAUGCUCACCUAAAAAACAUGAAUAUUGUGAAUUCACCAUUUCUAUAAGGAAGUUGAAAACUUCAAAAUUUUAUCAACAAAUUCUCUAAAAUCCUCAAAAUAUAUAGGGCCUGUUUCACAAAGUUUUUUAAAAUUUGUUUUUAUAAAUUGCUUUUAAAAUAUAGAAUAAAUAACAGUUUUUUAGAUUUUUUGAAAAAUAAGAGUGUUUGGUAAGAUGUUUUUUUUUUUUUUUUUUUUUUUAAGAAUUAAAUAAAAAAUAAAAAAAUUGUUUAGAUAAAAGAAUUUGUAUUGUUUUUAAAAACAAUGUCUUACUUUUAUGUUAUAAAAAUUUUAUUAAUUUAAUUUAUAAUAAUAUGAAAUGAAAUUCAAGUUAAGUCUUAUUAAAAAAUACAAAUUAAAUCUAUAAUUAUGCAUGAGUUAAAGAUAAAUAUAUAUUUUUUAAAACUAUAAAAUAAAUUUUCUAUUAUAGUGAAACAAAAAUUACUAUAAAAUAAAAAUAAUUUUAAUAUUCAUUUUUAAUACAAGUCAAAUAAGUACUUUAAUUAAUUUUUUUUAUCAUGAUUUCUUAUGUUUUUUUUUUUUUCUAGAAAUUAUUUUAAGUAAUAUAACUAAUUUUUUUUUUAAUGUUUUAUAAAAAUAAGGAUAUUUGGCAAGUUGUUUUUAUAAAAGGAUUUUAAAAAUAAAUGGAUUUUUUUUUUUUUUAAAAAAAGAACAAAAUGAUUUGUUUGAAUAAAUUGUUUUGAUUUUGUAAAAACAUUUUAAAUUCAAUUUAUAUAAUAUUAAUUAAUUAAAUUAAAUUGAAGUUUUAUUGAAAAUAAAAAUAAUUUUGUAAUUAAAAUUAGAUUAAAAAAUAUAUAGGUUUUAAUAAAUCGUAAAUAGUAAUAUUAUAAUAAAAUUAUAAAUUAUAUUUUUAACAUAAAAUAUACUAUUUAUUACAUAUUAAAAAAAAUAUUUUAUUAUAUUAAUAAUUUUAUGGUAUUAAUGAGUUUAUUAUUUAAGUUUUAAAUUAUUUUUAAAAAUUAAUAAAUUUGUUAACAAAUGCAAUGUACUAAAUGUGGUUUAAUUUGGAGUUAAUUUGUUUAGGGAAAAAAAUAAAAAAUAAAAAUCUUAUGUAAAAGAGAAAUAAUAGAGUGUGUGUGUUUUUUUUUAUUAUUUUUAAAAAUCAGUAAAAAGAACUUUUACUUAUUGCCUAAAAAUUAUUCUCUAUUUUAUUUUAUUUUUUAAAUCUAGAAAUAGAUAACAAUAAUAAAAAAAAUUAAAAAAGAAAAAUGUUUUUUAAAACUCAGACUUAUAAUUGCUUUUGUUUCUCAUUCGCACCCCUGGAUUCCUGGAUUCUAAACACAAAAUUAAGUUGAAUCGUCCAUCUAUCUUGUAAGCCAAGAAUUCACAUAGAAGAAAUAAUCGGAAUUUGAUUUGAUAUCAGAUUUAGAGUGGCUCACUACUCAUGCAUUGUCCCACAAUAGUAAUGCUUUGGGCCGAGAUAAACCCAUUUGUGGGCCCAAAUAAAACCCCUGGUUUGAAAACAUCGAUUUUACAGUGGCCCAAAAGAUUAUCUAUGAGGGGAAGAUAACUUGGAAGUCAAGCAAACACAUUUAUCGCUAACUUUUCUCUAAUUAUAAAAUUAUAACUUGGUCUUCUACACGUCUCACUUAAGAGGCGGAGCCACUUGGCACUACCUUUCCAUAUUGUAAAAGGAGAAGAAGCAGAAGGAGAAGAUUCUUAUGCCAUUCCACACACCAUGGCUAGUACUGCUAUGCUGCUUGGCCCGCCGGCUCUCCGCCAUCCUAAUUCUCCCGCCGGCACUGUCUUUGAAGAUGGGGUCAUUCUAACGGAUUCCCUGAUCGUCCGCACCAGUAAUCUGGAGCUUUCUGAAAAACCGCCACUGGAAUCCCUGGCGUAGUGCUCUGUCAGUGGGGAUAUUGCUAUGGAUUGUUUGGAUUCCCAAGCCCACAAUCUUCAUCUUCCCGGGAAACCGCCGAUGGGCUUAACGGAAAACAAGUCUCCGACCUUUUUGUCUUCCGGGAACCCGUGCUUGGACUUCUUCUUCCAUGUGGUUCCCGAUACGUCGUCUGAUGAUCUGAUCCGACGGUUUGAGUUGGCUUGGGAAUUCAAUCCGCUGACGACGUUAAAACUGAUAUGCAACUUGAGAGAGGUGAGAGGCACCGGAAAAUCUGACAAAGAGGGUUUCUACACGGCGGUUCUCUGGCUCCACGACCACCAUCCCAAAACCCUAGCCUGCAAUGCUAGGGUGUUGGCCAGCUUCGGUUAUUUCAAGGAUUUUCUCGAGAUUCUCUACCGGCUUCUGGAGGGCCCUAAAAUUCGAAGAAUCGAAAAGAAAGACUGGCUGGAUCGAAAAGGAAGGAAGAAAAAUUCCCGGAAAAGGAACUCAAUAUUCAAGCGAGAAAAUAGGCCUGGAGUUGAAUUUCCUGUAGAAGAGAAGGAUGUGGAGUAUAUGGUGGAAGAAUUUGUGGAUAAAGAAAAGGCUAGGGUACUGAGAAAGGAGAGAGAACUUGCUCUUGCCAAAAGAGCCCUGCACAAGUAUUCUACUGAUUCUAAUUAUCAGUUCUUACAUGAUCAGAUUUCAGAUUUAUUUGCUGAACUUCUGAAAUCUGAUAUUCAGUAUUUAAACUCCGGUGAGCUUUACAAGAUUAGUCUCGCAUCCAAAUGGUGUCCCACAAUUGAUUCUUCUUAUGAUAAAUCCACCUUGAUAUGUGAAAAUAUUGCUCGAAAGGUUUAUUCUCGCGAGGAAUAUAUAUCCAGAAUACCAAGGAAUUGAGGAGGCUCACUAUGUUAAUAGAGUCAGGGAUAGGUUGAGAAAACAAGUACUUGUUCCAUUACGUAAGGCCCUGGAGUUGCCAGAGGUUUUCAUGUGUUCGAACCAGUGGGGAUCACUUCCCUACAACCGUGUGGCUUCAGUGGCCAUGAAAUCAUACAAGAGCCUCUUCUCAAAACAUGAUACAGAGCGGUUUGGUGUGUAUCUUGAGAAAGUGCAAACUGGGAAGGCUAAGAUUGCAGCUGGUGCAUUACUUCCCCAUGAGAUUAUAGCUUCAUUGAAUGAGGAGGAUGGCGAGAAAGUUGCAGAGCUUCAGUGGGCGAGAAUGGUGGAAGAUUUAUCAAAGAAUGGGAGGCUCACAAAUUGCAGUGCGGUAUGUGACGUAUCAGGAAGUAUGAGUGGAACUCCAAUGAAGGUGUGUGUGGCUCUGGGGCUGUUAGUUUCAGAGCUCAGUGAAGAUCCAUGGAAAGGUAAUGUAAUUACUUUCAGUGCAAGUCCUGAGCUUCACAAGAUCCAAGGAGACAGCCUUGUAUCCAAGACUGAAUUUGUGAGGAUGAUGGAAUGGGGUGCGAACACUGAUUUUCAGAAAGUUUUUGACAGAAUCUUACAAGUAGCAGUGGAGGGAAAUCUGAGUGAAGAUCAAAUGAUAAAGAGGGUUUUCGUUUUCACUGAUAUGGAGUUUGAUGAAGCUUGUGGGAGGUAUAACUAUUGUGAAUAUGACUAUGAUAUGGAGGAAAUUGAUGAGAGUCAGAAGGCAUCUCAGAAGUGGGAGACAGAUUAUGAAGUGAUACAGCGGAAAUUCCAGGACAAAGGAUAUGGAAAAGUUCCGGAGAUAGUGUUUUGGAACCUUAGAAACUCAUCAGAGACUCCAGUGAUGGCCACAGAGAACGGGGUGGCCUUAGUAAGCGGGUUUUCGAAGAAUCUGUUAGACCUUGUUUUUGGAAGGAGGUGGAAUUCUGACCCCUCAGGAUGUGAUGGAAUUAGCCAUCUCUGGUGAAGAUUACAAGAAACUUGUUCUAUUUGAUUAAGAUAUCAAGAGAUUUAUCAAUAAUAAUAUGUUUUUUUUUUUCUAUGUGAAAUACAUGUAAUAUUAACUAUGGAGUUAUCAAAGUUCUGGAAAUUUAAUUAUUUCUUCUUUUCAAGUUUUGUUUGUCUUUGUUAGGAAUUCCCCUUGGGCGGACCCAGCUGGGGACUUGGAUUGAGGAAGUAAGGAGGCGAAAUUGUGUUCUUCUAUGGACAGAGAAAAAAGAUAAAAAUAAAAAAUAAAAAAGGAGGUUAUUUGCAUUUGGAUGUCAUGUGGUUUCAGGGUACAACUACAAGUUCGAAAUUGUACAUAAUGUGAAAAUUCCUGUGUGGAGAACAGCAUAAAUAUGUAUCUCAGUGUGUUUUGUUUGAGCUAAUUGGCAAAUUCGCUUUAAACAUGGUCACAUGGAUGCAUAUUUAUUUGUGAAAUGAUAGUAGUCGAUUACUUGGUCAGUAAGGUUUGUAUCUCUAACUCCAACAUCUUAUUGUAGUCUUUUAAAAUGUCAAAAGUUUAAUGCUAGCUUGAGAAAUUUUGGAAUGGAGACAUUCUAAACAAAGUUAAUAAUCCAUGAGACUUGGUAAAACCGAUCAGAUGAUGCUUACGUACAUGAAUGCCUUCUUUAAGCCGUAUCCUAUUUUCAUUGAAUGAGACGUGCCAUCUAGUUUUGUUCUUGUCUUGAUUGGAUCAUGAUCCCGGGAAUUGAUUACUGUUCUGAAUUUGCGAAUGUUCAAGGUAUUAGAGAAAGUUAAUAUUAUCGUUAAUUUACAUAUUAGUAUUUAUCUAGUUAUUAUAUAUUAGUUUGAAUUAUAAUAUAAUAUAGAAUUUGAAUCAAGUUUACUAUUAGUUUGAAUUACAAUAGGAAAUAAAGUUUGAAUUAUAGUAUAACUCAAAUAUAUUUGUAUAUAAAUAUCCAUCUUUAUCAAUGAGAAUAGUAAACCAUAUUUUUCUCUAUCUUCUUCUUUCUCUAUAUAUAUGGUAUCAAAGCCUCCAAAUCCUAAACCUAGUCUCAACUUAGAGCAAAUUUAGGGUGCAGGGUUUAGGCCCCGCCUCCCCCAACCCUUACCACAAAUGGUAGUGACCUUGUUAUGCCUAUGUAUUGUCAAUGCCUCAUUUUCUAUGGUCUUCAAUACAAUAUCUAGUUUCAAUGUCUCUUUCCUUACUAUCUCCAAUGCAAUAUAUUGAUUUCAAUAUCUCUUUACAACCAAGAGCUCCAAAUUUUCCUGGUUCAAAUCUACCAUAAUUUUUAUUCUCCUUUGCUUUUUACCAAUAUUAGUUCCCCUAAUUUAAUAUAUAUCUCUUUAUUACCUUCAACUCUACCUCUCUCUUUCUUUAAAAGCUUCCUCAAAGAUUUGAUUGCUUUCUUGCAUGUUUUGGGAAAACAAACAUGCUCAUAUUCUAUUACCUCUACUUGAGAUCUGCCUUAUACUCUACCUUCUUCUUUACCUCCUAUAUCAUCUACUACAUUAGCUUCAAAAACAUUAUUUAGUUUGAUGCUAAAUAAGGCUCCUAAUCCUACCCUUCCUUCAACUAACUUUCUUUUACAAGUCCCUCAAAGUUUUUUUUUUUUUUUUUUUGGAAAUUUGGCUUAGAAAGAUUUCAUUACUCUUACCUAAUCUUUCAACCAUCAAGUCGAAUCCACUUAUCUCUUGAAUCCAAGGAGACUACCCUCCACAAAAACAAGGAGAUUGACCCCCACAAUAACAAAGAGAUUGUCCUCCAUAGAAACAAAGAGAGCUUCCUUCAUGGAAGCCGAAUACAUCGCAAUCUAUUUUCUUUCUCUCAAGAUCAAAUCUCCAAUCGGAGCUCCAUCUUGUGGGGAUAUAUUAGAAAAAGUUAAUAUUAUCCUUAAUUUACAUAUUAGUAUUUAUCUAUAUUAUAUAUUGAAUUAGAAUAGAAUAUAGAAUUUGAAUUAAGUUUACUAUUAGUUUAAAUUACAAUAGGAAAUAGAGUUUGAAUUAUAGUAGAACUCAAAUAUAUUUAUAUAUAAAUAUCCAUCAUUAUCAAUGAGAAUAGUAUUCCAUAUUUUUCUCUUUCCCUGAGGCUUCAGAAUGUGAUCUUGAACAUUUGAUCUUUUGGAUUCUUCUUGUUUCGGUGGUUUAAUAUAAUGGAAUGUUUAAUUAUAGCCUACUUUAUCACCAUGGAUGUGCUCCUGCAGAUUUCUUGAGGGUGAUGGUUAUUUUGUCAUGUUUCUUGAAUGGUUUGCAUCAGCUGCCUGAGCUGUUGUUGCUGGUCACUUUUGCAACCAGGGAAAGAAUCAUGGCUUUGGAGAAGCCAGCUUCUGUUUUUGUUGCCCAGCUGUUAGUUCACUAAGAUUGGGGGUCCUAACAUGUAUGUAUAAUCAUAAGCAAGGAAAUUUUAUGUCUUACGCUAGAUAGGUACCAUGAUAUGAUGUUUGAUUGAUUUAUUAACUCUACCUGUUUCAAAAGGCAUCAACAUUAAUUUUACCCUUUUAACACAUUGGAUUGUUUGACCUUACGAGAUUUUCUAUUUCUGUACUAUUUGAACUGCAAUCGUUAUGGUCCUUAGGUCUCUAAACCUUCGUUUAAAAUAAAAGUAAGGAGCACACAUAGUAAAAGUUAAUUUUGGGUAACUUUUAAAACAAAGAGAAAAGUAAAAGUUGUUUUUGAGAAAAACAUAUAGAAAUUGAAAGAUUUUUUAUUUUGAGAAAAAAAAGUCAUAGAAAAGAAAUAAUAUCCCCAUAUAAGUAGAUAUGAUCUAUCCGAAGUGUAGCUACUCUCCUGGAUUUAUUCUAACAUUUUAAAAUUUUUCUCAAUGGGCAAAGGAAUAUCAAAUCAAGCUUGAGUAGGAUUAAUUUCUUAAUUUUUAAAAUAACUUAUAAUUAAAAUUUUUUGGUGUUUUCUUUUUUGGACAAUUUUUUAUGAAGACUCUGAAUCAUGCAAGAGAUAUGGUUAUUUUAAAAAAAAAAAUAAUUUAAAACUCAAAUACAUAAUCAAUGUCACAAAUUUAUAAACAAAAGGUUUUUAAAAAAUACUAUUAUUUCCCCUCUACACAUAAUUUUACUUUUCCGAUUUAUUUAUUUUUGUUGGAAAACAGUCUUCAAAUCAAGUAAAAUUAAUAUGUUAAAUUUGUUAAACAAAUAAAUUUUAAAAUACAAUUUGGAACUCAAAAAUCAAUUCAAGUAAUGCUAAAAUUCAAAAAAUCAAAUUUGGAAUAAAAUGACUUUGUAAAUUUUUUUACUAAACAAAUGAAUUUUAAAUCAAGUGAGAUUUAAUACAUUGGAUUUUUAUGAGAAUAGUAAUUUUAAAAAUUAAUUUGGAACUCAAAAAUAGACACAAUAAAUACCAAAAAUCAAUGAACCAAAAUUGGUUUGGAAUAACUCCAUAAUUUUUUAUUUAUUUAUAUAUUUAUUUUUUUGUGCACACGAAUUUCUUACUAAGCAUAUUGCUUCCAAAUUGAGAAAAAUUUACUAUUUAGAUUUUUUUAAUGAGUUUAAUGGUAUUUAAAAAUAAUUCAAAAAUUCGAAAAUUGACUAAUUUAAUAUUAUAAAUUCAUAAACCAAGACUAAUUCAAAAUGCAUUGGGGGCUAAGGGGGUUGAAAUUAAUGCUCCAUUUGGUUGUGGCCACCAAUUGGCAAUGGCCACCAAUCAACCAAUCAAGGUGGCUAAGGGGGUUGAAAAUAGGGACAAUGGGGUGGGUUUGGGACAGGACACUCAUAUCCCAUUCCCAUCCCAAUUACACAGUUAUUUCCCAUCCUUAUUCCAAACUUGUGUUGGGGCAAGUUGAUUUGUUCCCAUCUUUGUUAACGAAAUGACUAAUAACCUCAUCCUCUCCUUGUCUUAGAUGUACAUUUUCUCAAAUUUGGUCAGGUAUGAUUGAUUCAAGCCCUAACCUUAAUUGGUAAUGAGUGGAUACCACACCUAAUUGCAUUCUUCUUUCGUUGCAAAAUAAUGAGAUUAUAAUAAUCUAGCAAAUAAGAAAAAAUAGUAUGGAAGUUCAAAUUAACACCAUAACUAUCAAUAAUUUUAAGCUUAUAGAUGACUUAAAUGAUUGAAAACUAAUGCAAAAUACUAAAAAAAAAAAAAAUCAUCUAAAGAAUUCACAAGAGAAUAGAACGAACAAAACCAAAUAGGAACAUGGGUCAACAUUAGUUACAGAUUUUGAUCCCUUUCAAGGCCAAUCUUUGAACCAAGACUUCAUCAAAUCUACUACUUCAAAGGCUUUUGUGUUCUUCUUGAGUUGUACUCUGGAACAAAGACUUCGAGGUGAUGCUUUAGAUGAUUGCAUUACACAUAUUUAGGGUAGGGAGAUUGGAGAAGCUUGAAGAUGCCAACGAUGGGUACAAUUGAGUGGUCAAUAAGAACAAUGUGGCCUAUGACUAGUUUGAUGUCAUGGUAUAGGAGUUUUGGGCAUUGAGGUGAAAGCAAGAGCAACAUGGAAUUGAUUUCAAAGUCUUUCAAUUAGUGUAAAGGAGGAAGAAGAAGUGGUAUUGAUCCUAGAAAUAGUGUUUUAGGUGUUGCAUUAGAGGAAAAGAAAAAGAAAAAGAAGGAACCAUUGGAAUUAGUACGAGUGUGAAGAGAGAAGUGUAUACAUAAGGGGAAGUAAAAGCAAAGUUCUAAAAAUUUAUUUUUUUAUUGGUGGUGUAUGGUUGCAUGAUUAUCCCUAUAAAUAAUAGGAGUUUUUUGGUGUUCUACUAGUAGUUGAAGGAUAAUUUCAUAAGAUAAUAUUUAGAGCGGGGUGGGGUGAGUUGUGACAAAAUCCAUACCCGUCCCAAACAUUGGUUCAGGUUUUUAAAAUAUUUUCAAACUUAUCAUAUACCCAAUUUUAUAUUUCAUACUUGUCCUAAUAGAGACAGGUUAGUCAGGGUUACUUGAGUAGCCUACAAAACUAUCAUCCCUAGUUGAAAUGCUCUUUUUGGCAGUGGCAGCUAGAAGCUCGAUCGAUUGACCUACAAGACUAGUUGUCAUCAUUUUAAAAAGAGUUUUGGCUUUGGUUGUGAGUGCAAUUGAAUCUAAACUAACAUUUCCUUAAUGCAUCUACUUCAAUCCUAAACUUCUUACUUAAGCCUCAAUUGUUGUUAAGAUUUUGGAAAACCCAUUUCCUUAAAUUGUAAAUUUAAGAAAAAAAAAAUUAAAAGUGAGACAUUUCUUGAUUGAAUGUUGUUAAAGGUCCCUUGGAAUUAAGACUUGGUUGAAGCCUUGGAAGAUUAGCAGAACUCUCAACUUAUGUUUGAACCUUGAGGAGAGUGGACGUAGGCCAAAAUUUUGUCAAACCAUUAUACAAAUUGAGUUUGAAUUCUCAUUUCUUGAUUUCUUAUUUAUUUGCUUUUUCUUAUUAUUACUUGAAUUGUCAUUUGCAUUCAUUAAUGUUAAAAUUGGUUAUAAUUAGCCAACACUAAUUCUCUUUCCCCUUCCCUUAAUUUCUUGGGUGUAAACCUAGGUUGGAUUAACUAGAUUUUAUCAAAUCUAUUAAGAUGGUAAAAGAAUAAUUAUUCUUAACAUACAUAAGAUCAUCUUCAAUCAAAUGACUCAUUGGCUGAUAUGUUGAAUUUGCUUAUUACUUGCAACUCAAAAUUGUGUUCUAGUUGAUAUGUCAAGUCCUGAGUGUAUGGACAUUAAAUUUGUAGUACGUGAUGAGUAUUUAGAUGGUCCAAUUCCAAGAAAGUGAUUGAAAACUAGUUCAAGAAAGGUGCAAAAGGGAAUUGUUUUGGUAUUUUCGUUUUUAUUCUUGAAGGUGGCAGAGCUAAAAUUUGAGAAAUCAAGCAAAACAUACUGAAAUUACAUUGAAAGAAAGAAAAUGGGAGUUAAUGUCUUGCAGUACAUGAUAAGGACUUCAUGCAUGUAGUGUGACCCAUGUCUUGGACUGAUGCCACACUCACGGUUACACUUAUACCCUUAGUUCUCUCUUUACUACCUUAGCUAACCUAGAUCAGGUUAUGAGAUAGGCACCUCACCACACCAUUACUUGCCCAUUAAUUAGUGACAUUUUCAAGCAAUGAGGUAACAUGGUGACACCAAGAGGGUAUAUUCCUCACCCCCAACAAGCCUAGACCUGGUCUAAAAAAAAUGGAGAAAAAUGACGUGUUGUUAUGCAGAAAUAUAGCAACCAUGCCUUCCUCAUUACUUAGAUUCAGAAUGUGAAGGUGAAAUUGAGAAACAGAAACUCUUGAAACCAAAAUGAAAAUUGAUACUUUUACGAAGAAUUACAACAACAUUAGAGGAAGACUACAUUCUUCCUCUUUAUUCCUACAUUUCUACACUACUUCUACUCCACUCCAUAUUUCUACAUACAUCUUUAAUCAGUCUUCCCUCCUUUAUAUAGAGCCAUCUUCACACAAAUUCCGCAAGGUAGAAAAGAGGAAUGAAACUUGGAGCAAGGUUCGACUACUGGCUGUAGCUUGUCAAGGCUGAAAGUGAACUUUUUUUCUUGGCUUUUCUGGGCAUAGGUAGUAACUUGUAGGUUCCUUUUUGGAAUGAAAAUGGUACGGCUAGAACAUGUGGCACUCUCUUGUUGGAUGAUGUGUCAAGCAUGUGGCAGCCAUCUAGUGGAGAUUAUGUCAAUUUUGGGAUGGAGAGUUGGCAUCCAAUUGCAAAGAAAUAUGACAUCUACCAACAUGCAAUGUCAACCUAUGUAGAUCAUAUGAAGAUAGAGAGGAAAAAUAUAGAAAUGGAUAUAUAACUAGAACUAGCUUUUUAUUAAAUGAGACGGAGAGCCAACAAUGAAGGAAAAUCAAAAUUUUUGGCUCAUAUCAAAGAAUUCACAUUGUGUUACCCUAGGUUUUCUUAAAACUUACUUUUAUGAUAAUAAAAAAUCAUUAUUGUUUAAUCCUUUGUUUUAAACGCAUGUUUAGCAGGUUGUAAAAUGUAAAUAUCUUUCGAAAUUCAAAUAUGAAGAUAUGACAUCAUUUCAAGCAAUAUAGUCUCUAGGAAUUAAUGUAAAGCUAAAUUAAGGUGCAAUUAAGUUAGUUCAAUGCAUUAUUUUAAGAAACUUGACCUAUCAAAACCUUGUCUUACUUCAAAGCCUCUUUUUCUUUUCUUCCAACUAACAUUUUAAUAAGUGAUCGCAAAAGUACAAAAUUAGAUGAAAUCCAUUUCAAUGGUUAAAAUGAUCAAAUUCAAACUUUUUCUAAGUAUCUUUUAAAAGCAUCAAUAUUGAAAGACAAUUUUAUAUUUAGUCAAAGCUUGGACAGAGCCAAAAAGCACACAAAAAUUUAUAUUUUCUAGCUCUCUACCUUGGAUGGUCUCUUGAUCCUACUUGGAGAUGUGCAUAAAUAAAAGGAUUUGAAAAUGACAAUUGACUAAGUAUGUAGUCAAUCAAUUACUCAUUGAUUGACUAGUUGAUCAAUUAACUUUGCAACAUCAUAUGCAAUCCUAAUAGCUAGUCAUCUAAUCAACUAGGUAGUAAAUCAAUAGGCCAAAAAUAUGUUUAUAAUGACUAUUUUGUACAAAAACCACUUAUAUAGUUAAAUAUAAUGCAUUUCAUUUAUAAAUCUUCUAAUUCUUGAAUAACAAUCCUAUCAUCCUUUGAAAGUUUUUAUUACACCUUUUCUACAUUUGUUCUAAAACUUAUACAUCACCCUUAAUUGUACCAUGAGAACCUAGCAUUUUUUUUUUUUUUUUUGUAUUUCAUCAAAGUUAGCUCUUGUACUCAUUGUUGUAUUAUUUUUAUUGUAACUUAGAGAGCGAGUGUUUUCAAGUGAGUGAAAUUGACUUGUAAAUAUUGUAAAGAUUCAUUGAUAUGUAUCUCAAACUAGGUGUACAAGUUGAAACAUUUGCUAGUAGAUUUUCUCAAGAUUUAGAAUGAGCUUAAGGCUAUCGAAUUAGGUGGGGUUGCGCCAAACCAUAUCACAUCGUUGUUUGCACCUUUUUUUUCACUCUCUUUUACUUAGUUGCUCUAUAUAUAUUGUCUAGCAAUAUCCUAAAGGCUUGAUGGGCUAGGGAGCAUCCCUCUGAAUGAAAAAUUUUCAUUCAAUUCUUAGUUGUAUUACGCAUAUAUAAAAUGCCUCAUUGUUUUAAUGGUAUUCAGUCGUGGCACCACAGAUAUGGACAUCUAAAUUUUAAAAGUUUGAAACUUUUAGCUAAAGAAAAUAUGGUGCUUUGCCUUUUUGGAAAGCAUGUUGAUGAAAUCCAUGAGAAUUGUAUACUUGGAGAGCAACAUCGAGAUAACUUUUUUUUUUUCUUUUUUUAUAAUGCAUUGUUUGUCCAAAUUCCGUACAAAUUAGGCCACCACAUGUUCAUAAUUCUCCCUUCUUGAAUUUGAAAACUCGGACAAUUUGACAAUGCGACACCUAAGUCCGGUUUUUAAAUGCUAAAGUGAAAGGGCAGGUAUGGACCAUUGAAAUGUGAUAACAACUUUUGGCCUUUUCCUUUUCUCUGUAGCCAUGUUGUCUCUUUUUAAUUUCUUUUGCAUGAUUUUCUUACCUAAACAGAAUCAUAGACUUGUUUAAUCUCUAAGUGGGAUUUCAUCCACCUUAAGCUACUGUAUUAUAUCUCGGUGGAGGACAACCGACAUAGAGCACAUGCAAGUGGGUAUAUGGGACAUGAAAUAUCUUCUUAUAAAGCUUGUUUUGCAGUUAAAUUAAUUGGAUAAGUAGACACUGGCGUUUCUAAAUUUCCCACCUAAGAUAAUGACCUUAUCCUUGACUGCUAGAUACACAAACAAUUAUACCUUCAAAAUCUACUGUGAAGUGCUUCAUGUAUGUGUGAAGUAUUAGAAAUUUCUUUCUUGGCAACUUGUUUUUUUCUUUGCGGUCUACUGAUAGGUUUGACUAAAAUUAUAUUCCCUGUCCUGCUAAUUAAUUUUCACGUGCAUGCUCAAAAGAAGAGUAUGACCUUAGUGCACCAAAAUCACUUUCAAUAAUUUGUGAUAAGUUUUUUUGCAUGACAUUAACCUUAUUCAUUUAGAUAAUGUUUAGUUCUCAUAAAUAUUAAGAAAAUGAAAAUAAAUAUUAAGAAAAAUAUUCUUAUAUUUGAUUGUAUUAUGAAAAAUAUCAUAAAAAAUCAAAUAUAAUUAAAAUUAAUUAAUAAUUUAUAUAUUUUAAAAUUAUUUAAUUUUUAUAUUAAAGAUAUAAUAUAAAUGAAAUGAGUUUUAAGUAUUAUAUAAAAAUGAUUUAUUUAUUUAUUUAUAUAUAUAUAUAUAUAUAUAUUUAGUUUUUCUCUUUAUUUUAUUUUCCUUAUGUUUUCCUCACAUUUUCCGGAAUCAAAGAUAGGGAAAUCCACAAUUACCUUCAACUGAGUAGAUUCUAUUGUUUUAGCAAUGUUAGGCUGCUAACUUGUGGUGGUACGAACCAAAUGAUCCAUGUUAAUCUUGGCUUGAUUUAAUUUGGCUCUAUCUCAGAGAACUCAAGGAUCACGUCAACUCUGGUUUCUACUAUUCAGGUCCAUUCCCAGAUGAACUGGUUCAAAUUUGAGAAAAUGGUAACAGACCUUUAGUGAUAUUGGUUUGGAGCCAGUUGCCAAACCUGCCCUGAGCUUUACCACUAAUGUCAAGGGACAAAGCCAUUUGAACAAAAACAAUAGCUUCAAGAGACUGAAUCGUGGAUGAAAUCUGAUCCACAUUUCUUCUCAUUUUGGGAAAAAAUGAGGACUUAACCACAAAGAUUCUACUGCCUCAUAGUGCUUUUCCUGAUCUAAGGUUGGCUCGUUUCCCAAAUUGUGAGGUGCACGUGCCACUCUCACGCUCAGGAGUGUAUCCACGUGGUGGACAUAAGAUGGUGGCUUAAUAUCUGGUGUCGGUGGCUUUACUUUACUAGGAGAGUAGUGUGUCUUCAUCUCAUUCACUGCCAGAGGGUGGCGUAAGCAGUGACGCUAAGGUGGGGCACAGUCAAUAUCAUUUGCAUUUGACCAUUAUAAUUUUCUCCCGGCUUUAAAGUAACCUUAUCGUGAUAAUGGAUUACUAGCACUAGUUCAGAUGACAGUCAUGUUAAAUUCGGACCAUGUUUGUGUCACAUUAUCAGCAACCAUGUGCUUGUGGUUCAUGCUAUCUGCAACUAAACUUGAUAUAUAACCAGGUGAACUUCAAUCUAAAUUCUGGAAGUACUCAUGUGAUAGAUGGUGCCUGUCUGCAGUGAGUGUAUCUAUAAGAGGGAAGGCUUGGCAAAUGUUCAGUUUUCUGGGAAUUCAACAGGGAUCUAAAAUAGAUUGUUUUCUUUGCUGAUUUCAAUGGUUGAAAUUUGAGAAGAUUGUGUCCACAUAACACAACUAUUACUGGUCCUUCUGUUGCAAUUUAUCCUCUAAGGCUCUAACAUGUCUUCCAAUUCCCACUUCCCACUUCCCUGUUACUCCAGGAAAGCUGUUUCUGUCAUUGUGAAGAAGAAAAGAGACUGUACAUAUCGAUGCUUUUAAGUGGACUGGAGAAUUCAUAUCAGGUGGUCUGCAGCCAUACAUGCCACUUUGUGAAGGUUGGAACAGUCAAUCACUAGGCUAUAUUAGUGGGGCCCAGCCACUUCAAUCAAGGACAAGUCUUCAUACUUAAAGUCAAAUUCUGCCUUUAGUCUCAUUAUAAAUUGCUGUUUAAAUAUCAAGCAAACAUUUGUUUAAUGCGAUUAAGACAGCACUAACUCAAUACUUGUUCUAUUUUUGGAUGCAAAUGCUUGAUAGUUUCAUCAUUGGAGGGGAUAAAGGUGCAUUCAUGAUUAUGAAUACUUGUAGUUAUAUUUUCAUUCUCUUUUUUCUCAAUGGGACUUGUUGGCACAAUUUUGCUGUUCAGAAACCUACCUCUCCAUGGAAAAUCAGUUGUGAUUGAUAUUACUGGAUAUAUUCAAGAAAGCUAAAUGUAGAUAGCACAAAAUAUUAUCGACAUAAAUAGCAUUAACAGCGUACGUAUGUCUCAAUGCUCAUCAGCUAUAAGCAAGGGGCAAACACUUACUAUGAGCAACUUACGUCAAAAUUCCGGAAUAGGACAUAGAAGUGACAGGUCAGUAAAUAUAGAACACUGCAUAUGAGUCACAAGAAAGGAAAUUACGGGUACAUAGCAGCUCUUAUUUUACAUCCUACUCAUACUGAUCAAAGUCACUCAGUUGGGAUGGGUGGGAGUGGGAGGUUUGUGGGGUGGCUUGUGCGGAGGAGUUGGCAGCUUCUUUCCAGGACCUGGUUGCUUCUCUGCUGGAGUUGAAGGAGGCUUAAUCUUCCGAGGUGGCUUGUAUGAGUCUUCAGCAUUCUCAGCAGGAGGGUGACCAGGGUUGUGACCACAAUGUGGUGGCUUCUCUCCCUUAGGUGGUUUGCCAACUGGGGUUGGUGGCUUGUGUUCCGGAAGUGGCUUCUCUUUGUGUUCAGGAGGUGGCUUCUCCACUGGAGGCUUGUGUUCAGGAGGUGGCUUCUCCACCGGAGGCUUGUGUUCAGGAGGUGGCUUCUCCACCGGAGGCUUGUGUUCAGGAGGUGGCUUCUCCACCGGAGGCUUAUGCUCUGGUGGUGGCUUCUCCACCGGAGGCUUAUGCUCUGGUGGUGGCUUCUCCACCGGAGGCUUAUGCAAUGGUGGUGGCUUCUCCACCGGAGGCUUGUGUUCAGGAGGUGGCUUCUCUACCGGAGGCUUAUGCUCUGGUG